rnacentral:lncRNA from 1 species
CUAUCACAAAAAGAUAAGGGGAUAUGGGGUCCCCCUAACGCAGCCCCCUUGAACUAUUGAAGUAGCCUUCCGGGGUGCCAUUGAUCAAGACUGAAAACGUUGUUGUAGAGAUGCACCAGGAGAUCCACCCGGUCCACUUCUCCCCAAAUCCCAUGCUUUGCAAUACAAACAGCAAAAAAUUCCAGUUUAUGUGAUCGUAUGCCUUCUCUAAAUCCAAUUUACAUAACACCCCACUCUCAUUUCGUUUCAACAAAGAAUCUAUUGCCUCAUUGGCAAUAAGGGCAGCAUCGAGAAUCUGUCUUCCUUCAACAAAAGCAUUUUGAGCUGAAGACACCACUUUGCCCACUACCUUCUUAAGUCUGUUAGCUAACACUUUUGCCAACAGUUUAUACAACCCGCCCACCAAACUGAUCGGUCUAAAGUCUCUAAGAUCCUCGGCGCCAGCUUUUUUUGGGAUUAGGACCAAGAAGGUCGAAUUUAGGCUCCUAACGAAUCUGCCACGUUCAUGAAAUUCAAUCAAAAAACCCAUAAUCUCUUCUUUGACAAAAUCCCAACAAAACUGCCAAAACCUAAGGGGGAAACCAUCUGGACCCGGAGCCUUGUCCCCGUUCAGGUCUGAAAGAGCCUUGAAGACUUCUUCCUCUGAAAAAACCUCCUCCAGUCUAGCUGCAUCCUCAUCUCCAAUUCUAUUAAAGUCCAAACCUUCCAUAGAUGGGUGCCAGCCCCCCGGGUCAGUCAACUGGUCCUUAAAAGCUCUAACCACACCCCUCUUUAUCUCCUGCUCCUCUGUUAACCAUACUCCGUCAACUUUAAUCUUGGACAGGCAGUUUCUCCUUUUAUGGGAGUUAGCCAUUUUAUGAAAAAAUCCUGUGUUUCUAUCACCCUCCCUUAGCCAAACUUCUCUUGAUUUUUGUCUCCAAGAAACCUCCUCCAUUAGAGCCCAUUUUUCGAAGUCCCCCUUUGCUACCUUUCUAGCUUCCAGUUCCUCCAAUGAUAAGGGGCGAAGCUUCUCCUGACCAUCCCAGAAAUUCACCUUGUCCAGGGCCAAUUUCUUAUUGACACCCACCUGCCCAAAAACAUCCUUGUUCCACGACUUUAAAAUAGCCUUCAAAGCCUUGAACUUCUCAGCAAGGAUGAAACUAAACGAACCAUUGAAGCUUAGUCUUUGCCACCACCUCUUCAACAGAUCCUUAAAUCCCUCCUCCUUAAGCCACAUAUUUUCAAAUUGGAAAGGAACAGGACCUCUUCUAACCCCUCCCCCAUCCAAUAGAAUAGGGAAGUGGUCGGACACAGGCCUAGGAAGAGUACACUGCACCGCCCCCUUAAAGUGACCUUCCCAAUCCUUCGACACCAAGAACCGAUCUAACCUGGACAUAGCUUGAUUGUUCAAACCUCCGCUCCAGGUGAAUGGACCCCCCUGAAGGGGGAGAUCCCUCAAAUCUAGGUCAUCAAUCACUUCCGAAAAUCUUCUCAUUGAAGAAGACAACCUACCCCCUCUUCUACUCUCAUUCGGAAAUCUGAUCAAAUUGAAGUCUCCUCUGAUACACCAAGGAUCGCUCCAGAGACCGCGAAUGGCCCCUAGCUCUUCCCAAAACAGCUCUUUAUAUCUCUUCAAGGUAGGACCAUACACUCCUGAAAAUAUCCAACUAAAUCCGUCUUCACAGUUCUUGAAACGGCAGGAAAUGGAGAAGAGACCCACCUCCAUCCCUUCCAGCUCCAACACUCUUUUAUCCCAAAAAACCAACACCCCUCCUGCUGCCCCCCUCGCAUUCAGAACUCCCCAAUCUAAAAAUCUCCCCACUCCAAGACUUCUCACCACCCCUAAAGACAUCUGAGACAUUUUAGUCUCCUGCAGGCAUACCAAGUCCACUUUUUGGGAUCUGAUUAAGGCCUUAAUUGAACUCCUCUUAUUUCUAUCAUUCACCCCCCGGACAUUCCAAGAUAAGAUUUUAAUCUUCAUUUAAAACACAGAGCUCUAUCCCCGUUUCUUCUAUUCGAGCCUUUCUUCCUGCUUUCUCCUUCAUAAUUAAUCGACCAUUCCAGUUUUUUCACUUCCCUAUCAAACCUAGUCAUCCCUUAAAUUUCUUUCUUCUUGCCUUGAUCCCUCCUGGAUUUCAGCCUUAACAGUAGUUUAAGAACUUCCCCUUCAACACCAACUGUCGAGAAUCCCAGAGUCUUACUGAACUUAGCCAAGCUACUGUCAUCCCAUCCGCUACCCUGGUCCUCUUCUUCCUCCAGAUCCUCACUCUCCUUUGACCUGAAACCCAUAUUCUUUCCCCCCUCUGUACCCGUCUCCCACGGACUGCCAUCAGUCAGUACGGCACGCAACGGAGCUUGAUACCCAAUACCUUCAUCAAUGACUACCGUACCCCUAACACCCCCCACCACCAUAGCCCGAUCGCACCCAGAGAGAGUAGAAGAAGAGAAGAGGACCUGAUCCCCCCCCCCCCCCCCCCCCAAGAACAUCAGUAACGGACUCGUACCUGGAUGCCUCAGUUGACAAGGCUUCUUCAAUCAUUCGCGCUCUCGCUUUCGCCGUGAGAGGCUCAGAAUCCCUCCAAUCUCCUCCGAGAAAGCAAGCGACCCCCCCGUCCUCCUUAUCUUGGCCACCCGAAUCUUCCAUCGUAGCCCUAAUCUCCAUUUCCCCGACCUCGGCUAGAGGAGAAGCCCUAUUUCCUCUUAUUCCCCCCAACUCAGGCUCAAAGCCCAUACCGGCCCUCCCUUCGCAGCCCACAAUCGAAUCUUUUAUGAGGAAAGGCCUAUCCUCGCAGCCCAUUACCCAUCCUUUUAAUGUGAUGGGCCUCGGCUCACAGUCUGGCCUAACCAUCUGGGCUCCCUCAUGGUCUGGCUUAAAACCAUCCUCUCCAAGCCCGCUUCUGACUUGGGUCACCCAAACGGGCCCAAAAACACAAGCUGUUGGUCCAGAUUUAAAAACUCCCAGACUUGCUGAUUUCCCUCCUCCUCGACUUCUCAUCCCAAAGUUGUCUUCUCCAUCAAUCACCUCUGCUCCAGGCCCCCUUUCAGCCAACACAUAUGGAAAGCCUGAACCCCCUUUUGAAGAGCUACCACAGGGCGGCUCAGCUACUCCCCUCUGCUCCUUCGGUUGUCCAACCUUCACCAACACGCCUCCUCUGCACUCAUCACGAGACCCACUUCCUGUAACUUCUACAGCCACUGCAGCCCCUUUCCCGAGACCACUUCCCGCCGGCACCACCUGAGAGAACCAAGGUGGGGAUUCCCACCACAGCUGGACUAAGAAGCACCCCAUCUCAUCCACAAUCUGGACGGAGGAAGGUGUGUCCCUGCCCACCGUUUUCACCAACAUUCUAGCCCAUUGCAGCUCUGCCAUUGAAUCCGUCUUGUUGUCCGCAGCAAUGAACCCACCACAACCAUCUCCUAUCAACUUAAACACCUCUCGAUUCCAUAAAUGAAGGGGAAGACCUACCACUCUCACCCAUACCUCGCUAGCAAAAGCUCCAUUGCUAAAGCACCCCACCUCCGGGUGCCAUCUUUCCAUCAAUAAUACACUGCCUAGAACCUUUCUCUUCCCUCUAGCAAGAACACGCUCGGCCUCACUAACCAAUUCGAACUCGAAGAGUAUUAGCCCACCUCCCAUUACAGCUAUGUCCAGCUUGCCUUUGAGGAGCCAAGCGUGGACAGCCCAGUUUUUCAGGUAAUCUAACUCAGGGGGAUGGUUCUCCACCUUUUCCCAACUACCCACUAAGCAACGACCCAACUGCUCUAAUCUACUAGGCUUCACCCUUCUUCCCACUUCCAACCAAACCUUAUCCCCAAGUCUACCCAAUCUCAGUUUUGCUACAUCCGCAUAUGUCCUUUGAUCAAGCUCCUUUUCCUUCUUCAGCACCUCACGAGAAAGAGGAUCCUUUAAUCCUCCAAAUGGAGCUACCCCAACCUCUCUCAGUUUCUCAGCCAAGAUAUUCCUUCCUCUAGAUAGCCUCUUACUUUAAGCAUGUUUGAUAAAAUAACUUAAUAUCACAACUUAAAGUUAAAAAUAACUUUAAAUAUUAAGUUAAAAUAAUUAACUUAUUCUUAAUCUCAAAUCUUUUUUGUAUUAUUUGUCCACAUCUAAUGAGAAUAUAUUUAACAAUCAUGACUCCAAAUUCAUAACUCAUUUUUUAUAGCAAAUAUUUUAAGGUUGUCUUAUAUAUCUAAAAUACUUCAAGUACGGAUGUUUAAUAAACAAAUUUAUUAUUUAAGAUUAAUGAAAAUAAAUAUUAGUUAAAAUUAAUGAUGAUAAACAUUAAUUACAAUUAAUGAGGGUAAAUAUGUCAAUUUGACAACUUAAAAUAAAUUUUAAGUUAAUUUGACCAAACAACCUUAAUACUUAAAGUAAAAAAUGAGUGAUAAGUUUUAAGUUAAUAACUUAAGAAUAAUUUAACUUAAAGUCAAGUUAAGUCAUUAAGUAAUAAGUAUUAAGUUUCAUCAAACACCCACUAAGACAAGGAAGAUAGUCGUUGUUAUUCCAGGUAAACAAUUCUUUUAUUACAGUCCAUCAGGUUCACUCACUUCGGUUAACCCAUGCAUUUCCCAACUUCUUCUAUCAUAAUGCAUUAGGUUCCCUCACUUUUGCUAACCUUAUCCAUAGAAAUUACAUUUGAAUAAAGACCCAAGAACUCAUAGGACAGGGUGCACUCUCUCCAAGUCUAAAUUUACUGAUUUGUCAAAACUAAAUAAAAGGCGCUCAGUGGGAAAAGGAUGAAAGAAAAUUUAAAAAUAAAACAAAUUUCUACAUCUUGAAAAUCACAUUUAUUAUCAUUAAAAUUGCCUGCUUGAGAAGAGGUCCUGCUUUUUCCCCACUUUUUUGAUAAGUUGCUUGAGAUUUGAAGGGAGGAAAAAAAAAAAAAAAGGCAAGGCAUAGCUUCAUGCCUCUACCUCAGUGGUCAUGUAUUUGUUCAGCAAGCAACUAGGAAACUCCUACAGCCCCAACAUACUAGGAUGUCCCCUGAACCCCAUAUCACCAUGUUUGCCAACAAUAUGGAAAUCAUGUCACCUUGGAACUUAAAAUGUGCCUUCGUGUAAAUUAGAAAAAAUAAGCAGUAACAAGACAUCAUAAAGCUUAAGAGAAAUCUCCAGAAAGUACAGAGGAAAGCAUUUCAGAACAAAAGAAACUAGGACAUACUGAAAACCCUGAUGGAGCAUCAAAUAUUUGAAAGGCCAACCCUGUCAUGUUAAGCUGCCCAUGAAGAUUAGGGAAAGCUUCUCCUUUUGACAUGCAUAUGUGAACCUGUACACGGAAAACGUAUAAAGAGAUCAGAAUGGUAACAUUAUAUGGGUGGACCCAAAAAUGGACAGAUAAAAAACUUUUGAUCAGUGAUACAAACAUUGAGUCACUUGUAUAACAACCAAACAGAAGAAAAAAAAAAAAAACAGACAGUGGAAUCUAGAAUUCUUUAUGGAUUAUCUAAGAGAUAGCAUGCAUGUGAUGAAGCUUUGAAUAGAAACAUGAUUAUAGAUAAUUUUGAAGAACGAAAGAAAAUUAAUCAAAUUAAAGGUAGAGAAGCACCUCACCACUGGCUCUCCCUUUGGACCACAUGAUUGGAAUUUCUAAAAUUCUUUCAAAGAGCUGCAAAAAGAGAUAAACAGGACACGAACAAUUCAGAUCACCUAGGUUGUAGCCAUCAUAUUUCUUCCAAGUUCAUAUAAAACCUUCACUUUGUACCUUACCGGUGCAAAAAGGUUAAUGACUUUUAAAUUAGCAUGCCAUUGCUGCUCAACAUUGUCAACGAAAACAUCCAAUGACAACCAGCCACCAUCUUCGGAUGUCACAUCUGAUCUCCACAUCUUACAGUUGCCACUCAGCUGAACAUGCAUACGACCAUAGUGAUUUUGAAACUUUGCAUGUCCAUUGACAUUUUCCAUCUCUCUGCAAAUGGUGUAUUAAGAAAAACAUAAAAUGUUCGAACAAUGCAUAUUCAAAAUCUUAAAUAUUGCAAAGCAUCUUCUAGCAAGAAGCACACACAUGAAACUGUAGAUACUAAGCAUAGAAGAUAAAACUCUAUCUAAAUUCUAAAGUUUUAGGUCAUUUAAUAGUUAACAUGUUUAAAUGCCUAUCAUAAAAAAAUAAAUAAAUAAAUAAACAUGUAUAAAUGCUUGAAACAAUGCAUAUUCAAAUUUUUAUAUAUAGAGCAUUGUCUUCAAGCAGAGAGCACAUGUAUAAAACUGUAAAUGCUAAACAUAGAAGACAAAACGCCAUUUUUAAUGCAAAAGUAAUAAGUCAUCAAACGAUACAUGUGUCAAAGCUCAUCCACAUACAACCACCAAAAGAAAGGUAACCAAGCCAGAAGGCCACUUGGUUGGUGCAGUUUAAAAAUGGAAAAUGCAUUAGAUCGAUAUCUAUCAUACAUGAUUUGACAAAUUAUACCAUUUUAAGCAUCUUUAGAAGGUAUUCUCAUCUUUAAAAGUAAAUUUGCAGCAAAUGUAACAGAAGUGGACUUCACCUGGGCUCACUGUCACCAUAUGCUAGUAGCAGCAGAGUUCCACUUUUGAAAUGAACAGAAUCCAGUGUAACUGGAAACAUUUUCUCAAUACCUUCGGUAUGCACUUCGUCUAGGUGGCCUGCAACAAUAUCUUCGACUUUCUGACCAAUGCAUGACUUCAACUUUUGAAUAGAAUGAGCAAGAAAACAAGAUAAUAGAUCCCCCAUAUUUUUAGGAAAAGAGGGUAACAAUGAUUUCGGGGACAAGGGCCAAAUGGGAAAUGAAUGGUGCAUUGCAUGCCAAGGCCCCAACCUUGUCAAAAUCAAACCUCGAGAUUUAUGACCUUCUUGACUUGCAGAUAAAUCAUGAAGAGGCUCCACCACAUGGUCUUGCAAUCCGCAGGAGUUAUCUCCCAUAUCCAUAUUUUUGUUUACAACAUGAGCUCCUCCUAACACCUCAUUGUUUAAAUUACACUCAUCUGUUUUGGCUACUCCUUUGACUUCACUAAGUGGUUCCAUAUUUUCACCUAAUAUUCUAACUUCGCUAAGUCUACCUAUAGUCAUAUGAAAUGGAUCAUGUGUCAAACUAAUAUUAUUAACAGGAGCACUGGGAUUUUUAUGUUCUGUAAUAAGUUGAGUUGUUGAAUCAUCUCUAUUCCCAAUAUCUUGCUUUAUGUUGUUCCCUAAUUCUAAACUUCCCUUGCUUCCAGCAUCAUUGAUAGCAGUUCUCAGUUCUCCAUGCUCAACAUUUUUCUCCCCUCCAAUCUUAAGUACUCCAAUCUGGUUAGCAGAUGGAAUAGGUUCUCUAUAUCCAUCCACAACAGAAGUGCAGCCAUCGGCAUUACCCUCAAUUUUCAGUAAAACGUUGUCAAGUUUUGCAGAAUCAUAACCUGCAGUUGACUGUGACGGCUCAUCAAAAUUCCCAGGUGACAGACCCCGGAAAUAUGCAGAAGCCAUUAAUGCACUGCGCUCAAGAAUUCUUCUUUUGGCAGUAACACCAGCUGCAGAGUUAUUACUCCUGUUGGCCUUCCUCUUUAAUUUGUCUCUUGGAUUCACUGAUAUAGUUCUAGACCAAAAUCUAGGCCCCGAGCCAGAAACUUUUACACCAAAUGAUUUCUCUAAAUCUGCAUGCUUCAGAUCAUAUGCAACACCCGUGUCCAUGCAAUGAUGCUCCCUCCAAUGUGUCCUCUCAUCCAUGCACAGAAAAGAUUCAGAGCUAGCUAACCCCAUCGAAUGAGUCGCAUCCUUUUGCACAGCAUCAACUUCAGAUGGACCAGAAAUUUGCUCAGAAAGAAUGUACCCCAUUUCUGCAGCUUGUCUAGCUGCAUCAUCUCUUUCUCUGGCACAGCGAGCAGCGGCUUCCUCUCUAGCAAUCCUCCUGGUUUUCGUACGAUAAUCAAUCACUUCUUCAGUCGAGAUGUGCCUCUGCAAACCACCUUCAGAAGAAGGUAUACCCAACCAAGAAAAAUCCCUUUUUUGCACUAUCAAAAGACUGGGAUGAGAUAAAACUGCAUCAAACACAAUCUUUCCCCUCAUUAGACUUGAAAAAGGAAGAACACGAAGUUUUACAGUGGGGGCCUCACCACAAGAAAAUUCACCACUAUGAGGCCCAACAGAACAUGACUCCAAUGUGAUGCUUAAAGGUGAAAUUUUUAAAACCUUGCCAAAAUCAAGAUCCCGCUGAAUAUGCUCGCUCAGCACAGAACAAACAGAAGGCAAAAGUUUGGCUUCAAUAAAACUCUUGGCUUUUGCCCGUCCAUACCAUACCAAUAAGCACACCCCAGAAAUCACAGCCAAAAAGACAGAACACCUGACAAAUAGUAACCCCUCUUUCCACAAAGGAACUAAAGACCUUACCAGAGAUCUGCUUCGAGAAAAAGGCUCUUUCAAACAUUUUACCCUUGACCCACUCCUUGACCCAAAAUUCCUCAAUAAUAAUAUAUUUCUCCCACAAAAAUUUGAAAACCUAAUUGGUUGAAAUAUCCAACAAUUAUCUUUUGAGCAUAUACACUUACAGAGACCUUUUUUUGCCCAUGUGUUCAGAGAAAUUAAAUUGCCACGGUCUAUACCAUUUUUAGAGCUUUGAAGAGGAAGCCCAAGGAAUGGGCUGUGAAGUUUGCUCAUUAUCUCCCCUUAUAUGCUUCCACCCAAUUGUAACUCAUCUUCUGGGGACCAAGACCCUGUCUCAGUCCCCUGCAAAUUCAGAAUACUAUAAAGCACCCAAACAUUCCAAUCCUGAGGAAAAAAGGUGGAAAAAACACUUCAGAUCAACCAUUUUGUGAAAAUCAAACAUUGCAAACAAGCAAUAGCCUUUAGAAAGGAAGCAAAGCCAUCAAAUCAUAUCAUUUAUGUUGUCUUAGUUUCUAAAAAUGAAAAAGUAAACUCAACCAAGUUAAUAAUUGCAUGGAGUAUUGGGUUCCAAACCAUGGAAUCUGGGAUUCAAAAUUUAUUUUAUGAUAUUUCCGUAAGCUUUCUCUGAAAAAGAAUGGAGCAUGACCCCAAAACCUUUUACAUGUUAAAUAAAAUCUAAUUGGCAAGAUACGUUUUCCAAAUAUAAAUUUAAUAAGUAAAUUUUUUUCAAUUAAAAAAUGAAUACUCCAAUUAAUCCACUCAGUGAUAAGUAAAUCCACCAAUUGAUUGCUGGGAAAAAAUGGCACGAAAGGAAAGAGAAUCAAAAUUUUGAAGAUCAUCCAUUCAAUUGCUAAGCCACCACCGGAAAAGAAAUGAAAAUUUGAAAUCUUUAUAACCGGUUGGGGUUCUUGUGGCCAUUGUAAGUCUAAUAUCUCUUUUCUUUUCCUUCAUUUGUUCAAAAACAGUAUCAGAAUUUUUAAUUGUUUGGAAGGAAACAAAAUGCUAUCCAUUACACUGAGCCUAAAAUAAGAAUUCAGCUGUGACGUAUCAUCAAUUAUUUUUUGGAGACCAAAAUUAACAUAAAACAUAAAGAUCCAUUCAGUAGAAAAAAUUAAAACACUUUGCUUCCAUGAAAAAACAUUCUCAUUUUUUGAAAAUAAAAAUGAUAAAUGUAUUUGAAACCAUUCCAUUUUCAGGCCAUGGUUAAUUACUAAAGCACCCGUAUUUUUUAAAAAUCCAGAGGCAAUGAUACGACAUUUCCAAAAACAACCUAGUUUCAAAAAACUCAUUAGCACAUUCUUCAUAUCUGAAAACAGUUCUCAUUUUUAUUACCCAACAAAAAUGAAUUCUUUUAUUUAUUUCUUUCUCAGACUUCACAGCAACUAAACAAUGAAAAAAUUGUUGAAUAUUUUCUUGAUAGGUAACAUUAAUUUUUUAAAUUUUGUCCCUAUGCUGGAAAACCUCUCAUAUCCCCACCCUCAAUCCCAAAAAAAAUCAUUGAGUAUCACAUCAUUACUAGUUUCCAAUUGUUUGCAUGCCAAUAAAACAAAGCAAUAAUUAAAGAAACCAAAAUUUCCUUUUCUUUUCCUCAAUUUUCAAACAAUUGUGCAUCAACUGAACCUAAUCCAACUAUCCAAGUAAUCCCAAAACUAUUAUCACAUAAAACAUAAGCCCCUGAUAAUAAUGGAAAUAAAAAUAGUUUUUAUAAUCAUUUUCAUUUUCAAAAAUGAAAAACACAAAGAUGUUCUCUCUCUCUCUUUACCGUUUUCAAUAUUGAAACUAAACGAUCCAUUUUCAUAGAACAAUUUUAAACAAUUUUUUGCAAGCGUGCAAACACCUGUUCUCUCAACCAUUUUCAUCUUUUCUGCUUUAAAAAAAUAGAAAAUGGUUUUCAUUUGCGCCACCAAACAGGCCCUAAGAUUCUCAGUUCACUUCUCUCUCCUUCCUACUUUCCUCGGCCACUUCAUUCGUAUUUCGAAACCAAACCAACACAAAACCUACUUCUUUCCUCUUCAUCCCCUUCUCUAUUCUCCGAAACCAACCGAAUAUCAAAGAUCAAAAAGUAAAAACGCAAAAAAUAUCAAAAAGCAGAAAGGAAAAAAAAAAAAAAAAGGUAACGAUUGGCACAUAAGAAACAAACCGAAUUUUGAAUAAGUAAAUGUAAGACUUAUUUAAUUGAAUAAAAAAAAUGAGAGGAAUGGAACCUGAACAGAUGGAAAAUGAGCAUUUACUCUCGAGAGAAAAUGAGUGGAUACUUGUGAGGUGAUUUUCUCGGCAAAGAAAGUGAGAGGGAAACGAAAGAGAAGGAAGGAGUUUGCUUGAGUUGGAGACAAUUCUUGGGCUUUUUGGGUUCGUUGACGGAAAUGCCCCUGUAAAGUAGUUCAAUGACGGAAAUGACCUUAUCUGACAUCCAUCCAGAACAACAUGGAUCAGUCAGAACGCUGAAGUCUGAUCUUCGCCAUUUUGCCUAUUUUACUUUUCAUCUUUUAUACUAUGUUUUAAAGUAAUUAUUAUAUAUAUAUAUAUAUAUAUUUUACAAUCAUAUUAUUUUUUAUUUACGAAAUUUAAAUUUUGAAACUAUAUAUAAAAUUAUUUUUAAAAUUAAAAAAAAUUGAGUGAGUCCAUGGUAAAAGAGGAUUUUUUUUUUUUUUUUGCCCAAUAGAUUUUAUAUUUACAAUAAAAAUAUUUUUAUUAAAAAAUUAGAUGGUUUUUAUAUUUUCAAAAUUUUAAUUAAAAUUUAUUUAUUUUGAUAUUUCUUUUGGUAGAGAAAUUUAAGGAGUUCGGUAGGAGUAUAUUUUUCGCUAAAAAAAAUAAUUUUUAUUAGAUUAAAAAAUAUUUUUUAAAGAAUCCCUAAUAAAAAAGAUUAUUAAUAAAUUAUUUUAAGUGAUUUUCUAAAUUUUUAAAAAUGGUUUUUAAAAACGGUUUUUAAAAUAAGAAAAUUAUUUGAAUAGUUAGAAAGUAUUUACAACCCACCAUUAAUUUAAUAAUUUUUUAAAUUUAAAGUUUUUCAACCUCUAAAAUCUCAUCUUCAAAAGUGAUGAAAUCUUAUAUCUAUUAUUUAAUAUUGAAUAAUUUUAUUUUAUAUAACCUCCAUAAUUUUUUAUUCAUGAUUAAUAUGUGUAUGUUUUUUUUUUUUUCCUAAAAGUAAAUUUUUCAUUACAAAAUAUAAAAUCUCUUAUAUAAAAAAUGGAACUUAUUUUUAUAAUUCUUAAAAACAUAUUAAAUUUUUUUUGCAUAAAGAGUUUUAUAUAUCAUAUAAAAGUUUGCAUUUACAAAAAAAAGUAAAUAAAUAAUUCAUAAAAACACCAUCAACCUAUAUGAAAUUAUUUUUUAAAACAAUUUUAUUUCUUCAUAACAAGAAGUACAAAAAAAUACACUUAACAAUAAAUUUGGUUUUUUUUUUUUUUUGUUUAAGAAUAGAAAAAUUUUUAAAGAAUAUAUUUUAAUUAUUUUUAUAUGAAUAUUUUAAAAAAUAAUUAUAUAAGCAUAUAAAAUAAUUAAAAAUAAAAUGCUAUAUAUAAAAAAAUAUUUUUAAAACAUAUUUAAAAAUAUGAAAAAACAAGUUAAAAAUAUUUUAUGUUUUCGAAUAAACUUUUACUCUACCAAAAUUAAAGAAUAAUUUUAAAAAAUUAUUCUUAAAAAUUAUUUUCAAAAUUAUGGUUAAAAACAAUUACCAAACAACUGAAUUUUUUUUGGCUCAUUAAAAUUAAAAAUUCAUUAGUAUUCAAUAUUUAUAUUUUUUAGACCUUCCAAAAAAACCUAUUAUUUGCCAAAAUCCGUACAAAGUUCAAAUUAUUAUUUUACUUUUAUUUCAAUGAUUAUUUUUUAUUCUUCACAAAAAUAAAUCUGUCAAAUUUUUGUUUUCAUUUUAUUCCAAGAAUAAAAUAAGUUUCUCUUUCAAAUAUUAUUGAUCAGACUUGAGCACACUAUGGACACCUUUUCCAAAAAUACAGAAUAUUGUCUGAAAACAUAUUUUAAUUAUUUUUAUUGAUUUUCUAAGAAUUAUUUUUUAAAAAUAACUAUAUAAAUAAAAAACAAUUGAAAAUGAAAACUAUGUAUAAAAUUAUUUUUAAAACAAUUUUUAAAAACACAAAAAAUAUAUUAAAUAUACUACUAAUAAUAUGAAGUUCAACUCCCGUGUCCGUCCGUGGAAGGAUUUUCAAUGCACAAAACUAGAAAAACAAUGUCCCAUGAUAGCCAGCCAUAAUAAGAUCCCCAAGAAAAAGAAGCUCUGAGUCCAUGGCAAUACUACUAAAGGCAAUCUUCCACAAAACCAGAGCCUUCUGAUUAUUUUGUAUCAACUUCAAAUGAACAAGGGCAAAUACAUGUUCAUAUGUGAGGAACAAAAUGGGGCUCUUACCGGACUGGCUGCUGGUUGUAAUGGUUCUUCUCUUUCUUCUUUGCUGCAGCAAGCCUUGCACUCCUUGCAGCAGCCUCUGAAGCAGCAGCUCUAGCAGCACCAUCCAUCUCUUUAGUUGAUUUCUUCUUCUUCCCAGAAGCCAUCUUCUUUAGCCGCUCUUUCAUAUCCACAGCAGGUGUCUCCUCUUCAACUUGCUCACCUGCAGCAGCUUCCUCCAGCCCAUUGGCAGCAUCUGAGCUAUCAGGCAGAUCAUGGGAUUCUUUCACCUCCUUCGAAGACAAUUUAUCCCUCUUUUUCUUCUUCUUAGCAUUCUUGGACUCUGUAGGAGCAUUGUCCUUCUUUUCUCCAUCACCAUUAAGCUCCCCCUUCUUAUCCUCCUCUUUCUUCUCUUGUGAAACACCUGACAAAGAUUUCUUGUUUAAGCAAUACUCAACUUUAUUGGUUUUAAACAGUGGUCGGUUUCCGUGUUUUGCUAGAACUAACCAAACAACAGACGGCAAAACCUGUUCUCUAUUUAAAUUUUUUUUUUCUUCAAAAUUUCACUUGAAGGUGGUAAUCUAAUUGAAGAGCCCAAAUCGCAGUUCUAGAUUCAUUGUACUAUGGAGCUUUCAGGCAGCCAUGAGGGUGAGAGAAGUCCCUUGAAACAGCAACAUUACUUUGGGAAUAAUCUGUAUGAUUUCUGAAAACCAGUGUUUCUCAAGGAGGCUCCAACAACAAUGACAAAAGCACAUUGGCGUCUCAACAAAGGGAUGGAGAUAUUGAAAAGAGCAUGCUCAGGGAAAAGACAUGGGGUACAUAGAAAAUGGGGAAGUUUUCAUUGCAGAUAAUAGAUAAUACUUACCAUGUGACUCAACUUGGCCAUUGCUUUCUUUCUGGGAAACUCCAAAAUCAGCCAGAAGGGCCUCAAGCUCUGCAAGCUCCUUUUUCUUCCUUUCCUUCUUUGUGAGUUGUCUUUCUGUUUCUUUUGACACCAAAGAAGAUUCAACAGGCUUCUUCACCACUGGCUCUGGUUGCACAGGAACCUCUGGUUCAUGGUCAUGCUCUUCUUCUAAAUCAUCAUCAACUUCAUCAAGAAUAUCUUCUUCACUUUCAGACUCCUGUUAUUCCAGAUAGACGAGCAUAAUUUAAUGUUACCAAAAAAAUUGUAAGGCCUAGCAUUUAAAAAGAUAUUUGACCAAAUUCCAGGUUUCUAUCAAUCGUCCACAUUGUCGCCACAUGCUUCCAUACAUUUGUUUCAUAUUUCAUAUGUGACACCAACAAGAUAAGGAAUGGUGCUCUUAUCUACACAACUGAAUGAGCAAAACCGAAAAAGUAAAUGAAAAAAAAAUAAAAUUACAAAAAUAAAACAUCUGUAACUGCUGCCCAUUGUGCAACCACAAAACAAUCACGUCAGCACACAACGGCCAAAGGCAUAUAAUGUCUGUAUUAGGCGUUCUUUGUGCCCUAUAGAUAAUAAACCAAAACAAACCCAAUGGCCCUCUCAAACCAUUCAUCUUAUUUUCCCUGCUUUCCUACAUACAAACAAUCUCUCUUUCUACAUUCAAAUUCAACCUCAUAGACAAACAACCAUAAAGUUGCUGGAUUAAUUUCUUUAUAGAUCAGCCAAACAAACAAACACAGAUGCAAGCCACAUGGUUUGACCCAUAGCAUCCAUUUGCAGGCACAAGGUUACAAGAACACAUACAAAUUAAAGCCCAUGAGGCCUAGCUCAAGUGGCAAUAUGUUGGAAUGGGGAUAUGGGAAGUUCCAGGUCUGCAUCCAAGCAUGGACAAGAUUAAAGAAAGAAGAUAUACCCACAAAAGGAAAAUUGAAGGCACUAUAGUUCAUGAGCAUAUUGGUUGAGUGUAAAGGUUGUCCUUAAAUAAUUUACCCAUCCCAUUUACCAAAAAGAACAUCAGCUACUACAUUCAGUGAAUAGCGAAAGCAGUAGCAAUAAAAAAUUAUCAUCAACAUCAUAGUAAUAAUGAUAACAACAUAGAAAUGAAAGUUGAAACAUACUAAUAAUAAUAAUAACAAAUAGAUAUGGAAAAAAGGGAAGAAACCUCCACUAAGGUUAAAGGAAUUAAAUCAUUCUCCAUACCCAUUGACCUAUUAAAAGAACAUAGAAGGAUCCGCAUACCUGCAUGGAAAUACAAAAUAACAUGGAACAGAAGAAAGCUUUGAAAGCAUAUAUGGGAAUUUGUGCAGUUUGACCAAUCAGAACACAACAGAUAUAUUUGGAUCUUGGAUCGACCAAUGGGAUCAUUCAACACCCCAUGAAAAAACCACCCAAAAAUAAAAAGGAAAACAUUUCAGUGGCUAGAGAAGUUCACUAUGUGCUAACGGUGAAGACUUAUCACCUACCCGAUGAAAGAAAAAUGCCUCACAAAAUAUCUAUGGUAUUGGCAUCUAAAAUUAAGAAGCAUAUUAAAAGAAAACAAGAAGGCCUACAAACUUUCUCAACAAUCAGUACAAGGUUAUUUUAGAGAGAAUUAAAAAUAUCCAUGCCAUGACUAUGCACAAUGAAAACCCAAGUGCUUGCUAUAACAACAAAGGUUCUCCAAUCCAAAAAACGCUUUGAGUUAAAAAAAACCAAGUUACCAAGCAAAGGAAUCACAGAACAAGAAUUAUGGAACCAUAACAACAGCUUAACCCAUCAUUAUCUAUAUCUAGUAUCUACGUUUCAAAUAUAUGUAGCUGAUAUAUCAGAGAUUACAUAACCAUCACACAUAUAUCGAUGUAGCAUACACAGCAAAAUGAAUAAAUAAAGAACUUCAAUAUCAACUAUGAAUUAGCGACUUAAAGAAAUGGAAGCACGCACCUCAACCUGGGUCGGUUUCUCCAUAGUCUGUGACUGCUCCGAAGUACCCCAAACGGACUGGGGAGGUGCAGUAGUGGCGUAAUAAUCAUCGUCAUCAUCAACGUCUGCCCACGAUUUCACUGUCAAACGCGCAGGUGCCCAAAACACCUGCGGCUCCGGAUCCUUUUCUUGGGCCUUGGACGAGCCUUUACUCUUCGAACUUCCACGUUCCUUAUCGGACUUCUUCUUCUUCCUUAGGCUCUCAAGCACCGCAAAAACGUUGUUGUUGUUGAUCACCAUCGAACCCUCGUCUCUCCUGCUACCACCGCCCACCAUUUCUUCUCCAAAUACGCCACGUAUCUUGCAAACGAACAAAAAUCCAAACGAGUGGGAGCCGCAAUUUCUUAAAAUUUGAGGUACAUAAUAUGCAUAUUAUAGAACAAAAAUUUCCUCAGUGCUUCAGAACACUGAAAUUUACACCAAAAAAUCGAAAAUCCGAAAGAUCAGCAAUUUGGAAAGAAGAAAAUUAGGGUUUAUGCAAGAGAAAAUAACUGAGUCCGCAAAAGUCAACUGAAAUUUUAUACAAUUAUACAAGGAAAUCGAAUAUGAAGAUCCAGAAUGGAAAAAAAAAAAAAAAAAAAAUUGUGAAGAGAGAGAUUCCGAUUAUUGAAUUUUCGAAAAUCAGAGGUUUCGUGGGAACAGCGAUUCGGUGGAGAUCGCUAGGGUUGGAGGUGGAAGGGGAGAUUACAAGAGUUUUGAAGAAAAUGUCUCAAUGUUUGGAGGAGAGAAAAAGAGAGAGAAAAGGAAUUAGGGUUAGGGUUUCGUAAUGUGAUAGACUUUGUUUCGUUUCAGUAAGUUUUAAGGGUUACCGAUAACGUAAUGAGGAGACAGUGGAAGAAAUCACUUUAUAGGUGUGGGUUUUUACAGGUUGGUCCUUGUGAAUCUUUCUCUUUGCAAUCCAAUCCCUCGUAUUUCUCAAAAUUACAAAACCCAUUUCUUUCCUUUUUGGCUCUAAUGAGAAAUUGACGGUGGCAAGAGUUGCCAUCAAAUUUUAUACUAAACAUGAAAGAUUUAGGGUUUUAUAAUGUAGAGCCAAAAAUUGUUAUUUCCAAUCAUUAAUAUGCUAUUGAUUUGAUCUUUUCAAAAUGAGAACAAAAAAAUGUUACUAGAUCACGGUUCACUUAUCAGACCCAUGAUUGAAUCAUAAUGAUAGAUUUUUUUUUUAAAUUAAAAAUAAUUAUAUAAACUUAAAAAAUGUAUAAUAAUUGAAAAAAUGUAUAAUAAUUAGAAAGUAAACAUGUUUUAUUAUAUUAUCAUUGAUAUUAACAAUUUAAAUUGUGAUAAUGAGAAUUAAAAAUGUUACUAGAUCGCAGUUCACAAAUUGGACCGAUGAUUGAAUUAUAAUCAUAUAUUUUAUUAAAAUUAAAAAUAAUUAUACAAAAUUAAAAAUAUAUAUAACAAUUACAAAUUUUAAACACAUUUUAUCAUCUUAUCAUUGAUAUUAACCAUUUUAAUUAUGAUAGUUAUAAAGGUAAGUUUAUUAAACUAUUGGUAUUUUUAAUUUUAUAAUUUUUAACCAUGAAAACAUUCAUUGUCCAUAGGAACACAUGGACUAGAAAAUAAGAGUUUUGACCCAAAAUAGUACAUUUAAAAAAAAAAUCAUAAAAUAAACUUGUUUUCAAAAUAAUGUCAAAUUUAGUGCAUAAAUGUCACAUAAGUUGUCAUGUCAUAAAACCGUAAUUGGUUACUACGGUUUUAUUUUUCUAAAACGGUUAGAAACUAUAGUCACCAACCACGGUUUUAAACUUAUAGUUUUGAAUUUAUUUAAAAAUUGUUAAAGUCGUAGUCAUCAACUACGGCUUUAAACUUAACGUUAAAGUCGUGAUUGGUGACUACGAUUUUUUAACCAUUUUAGAAAAAUAAAACCGUAGUCACCAACCACGAUGUGGCACAGACGCAUUAAAUUGAGCAUUAUUUUAGAAACAAAUUUAUUUUAUAUAAUUUUUUUUUUCAAUGUACUACUUUGGGUCAAAACUCAAAAAAUAAUGUUGAGCUGGUUUUUGAUUCACAGUUAACACACCAGUUAUCCAUCUAAUUGGGAGGUCGGAAGGUCCCUCCACUACUCCUUUGAUUCCAAAGUCAUCUAGGUUGCAAUACCACUUUUCCUUUUGUAAAAGUGAGUCCCAUAAUUGAUCCAUGUCCAUGAUGCCUACUUCUUAGACCUAGAGAACAAGGGUUGUUUGGUUAAAAGGGUCUUAAUGAUACCCAUGAUUAUAAAGCAAGAAAGAUAACCCAUGGUAAACAAAAAUGCCCUUAAAAUAAGUAGGAUUUAAGCCCUUUAAAUUUUAAGAGAUGGCAUUUUAGAAAAUCAAGUAAAUAAGAACUCUCAAUUUUAGUUUAAUGAACCUAAAAUAGAUCUAUAAAACUCAUCUUGUGUCAUUGUGAUAAAGAUCACCUCAUGUAAGUUGUUUACAAUGUUGAGUCACUUUUGGCAGUACCUUAUAUCUCUUGAAUCGGUAUUAGUAACUUGUACAUUUCCUUUCCUUACUCUCUCACAUUUAAUCUUUGUACAAAAUACUAAGGAUGAGUUGAGAGAGGGACCAAGAACCCCUUUAUAUCAUUUGAAGUGACCUUUCAUUGAGAGUCACAAAUGAACACUUCCUUUUAGAUACAUGAAUCCUCAUUUCUUAAUUCCAUGUAAUAUUUAUAGUAUAUGAAAACUUUUAAUUUGGGUGCAUGACUCCGGUCAUUGUACCUUGUACAUAACUUGGUAGGUUCAUGACUUUGGUUGUAAUACCUUGUAUUUUCCAAAUACCAUGUACCAUAUAUAUUUAAUUUUGCUCAUACAUCAAAUGUGUAAAAUGAGAAAUGUAAAUACAUUAGGUUCGUGCCUUUGGUCAUGAACCUCACGACCUUUAGAAUAGUAGAGAUUAACUUCAUGUGGUCAUGAUACUCAUGAAGUCCACAAUAAUUCCAAUAAAAAGAAGAUACAUUAACGACUUUUCUCUCUCAAAUUCACCCUUAGUUCUUAUUCUUCUCCCUACAACCAUCUUUACAAUAAAGGCUCACUAUAUUUGUAAACAGAACUCAAGUAUACUUGUGGAUUUCAAUCUAUAUUUCACACCAAAUUUUUUUGUAUAUCCUUGCUAUUAGGUUUCAAUCCAUAUUUUUGUAUGUAUACGUCAUUCAAGGCAAAUAAUCAUUGCAUUCAUUGCAUAGCGUCAGUGAUUGGUCAUUCCUGUUGACCAAUUGAAUUGACUUUACACGUUAAUGCACAUGGAAGCGGUAAUAAAUGUUAAUCAUAAAGACACAAAAAACGUUACAAGACUCCCCGCUAUAUAAAGGCAUCAACACCAAAAAUAAACAUCAGAGGGGUCACCAUCUGACCACUCUUUUUUUGCAAGACCAUGCAUUGUUGGAUCGUGUAGCAAUCGAGAAGAGCGAAGAAAGCUAUCCGGGACAAAGUUGGUAUGUCAUAUGUGCACCAACAAUAUUUACAACUUAAAUGAACAUUUUAUUUAAAAAUUUAUACUAAAAUUGAAGAAUUGGUUUGAUUCCAUGAGAAUGAGAAGUAAGAAAUUCGAAAGAUCUAAAAGGAACAUUCUAAUUAAGAACUCAUUGUAAAAAACGAAAUUGAUGGGAGUAGAUUGAUUUAUAAUAGAAUAAGAAGUUAGAAGUUCUAAAAGUAUAAAAUGAAAAACAAAUCGAUAGAAAUUUCAAAAUUUGAGUCUAGGGGGAUAAUUGGGAAGGGAAAAAAAUAGAGAGAGUGAAUAGUGAUGGCAAUGAGACGGGUUUUUUCGGAUAUCCGCUUCACCUCGUCCCUAAUGGGACAGGGUUCAAUUUUAAUAAAUGAGUUUAAGAUUUUUUUUAAAAACCUGGGACGGAGUUUGGGUAUUGCAUCGUCUCACAUCGAUUAUAUAUAAAAUUAAUUUAAUUUAAUUUUUUAUUUUACUAAUAAUAAUAAAAUAUUUUUAAUAAAAUAAGUUAUAAAAAAUAUAACAAUUUAAUUAUUUAUAAAAUAUAUUUAUUUUAAUGUAAUUAAAAAUUUUAAAAGUAAUUUAAAAAAAAUUAAAAUUCAAAAAAAAGUUAAACGAGGCAAGACGGGGUAGAUAUGAGAAUUUAUCAUACCCGCCCCAUCCCGUUUAAUUUUCUAAAUGGGAAGGGGAUGAGAAUUGUUUUGAAUAAACAGGGCAGGGUUGGGAUAGGGGUGACCCAUCUCGAACCCGUCCCCAUUGUCAUUUCUAAGAAUGAAGAGUGAAAAAGUUAAAAAAGAAAAAAAAAAAGCAACUAAAAUGUAAAAUGAUGUUUUUAUCAAAAGUGUCAUAACAAAUAUUUUAAAACUAAUAUCAAUUUUAUAAAUAAGGACAUUAUUUAAACUCUUUUAAUAAAAGAAAAAAGAAAAACCUUAUAAAUAAUAUCUUAAAAAAAAAAGUUUCCAUCCAAAGUGUUGGAUUACGUAAUACCUAAAAAUCUACAAAAUUAAGAGUUGUUCUAUUAACUUUUUUUUGGAUAAGCUUAGUUGGCUCAAUAAUUCCCAUUGGAAUAAAAUACCAUUUUGUUUUUUUUCUAAUAAGAAAUUUUCCUAACUUUCAUCUUCAUUAAGUGAUAAUCUCUAUAUUAAUAUUACAUAAUACCUAAAAAAUCUACAAAAUUAACAGUAGGCCCAUUUACUUCUAGAUAUUCUACUUUCUAAAAUAAUAUGCUAUUUUGUUCUUAACCUCCAUCUUGAUUAGGUGAUAAUAUUUAUAUUAAGAAAAAUAAAUAAAUAGAAGCCAAGCACCAUUGACCUUAAAUUUCUUAAUAAUACUUAGUAGCCCAUCUUUAUAUAGAAAACACUUGAAAUUUUUUUUAACUUUUUCAACACUUGAAUAUCAUUCAAAUGUUAAAAUCGCUAAAAACAUUUUUUAAAAUCACUACCAACAGACUUUAAAUGUAAUAUUCUAAAGUAAUUAGAAGAAACAUAUGCUACGAUCAUAUAAGCAUAGGAUUUCAUUUAAUUAUGUAAACGCAUUUUAAAAUUAUAAGCAUUCAUUAGACCGAAAACUGACAAUACCUACACAAAAAGGUACUACCAGACAAAUGUGAAAAAAUAAUGAAAACAAUAGUCGAACAACUAAAAUUUUCCCUUUUGUUUCUUUGGAAAAUGACCAGAAAUGGGUGCAAUGGCUGGUAAGGACAUGUAUUUUGAGGUUGCUUCCAAACAUAGCUUAAGAACAAAUAGUGAGGAAAAUAAUAAAUAUGAUAUUUCACCGGUUUGAACAGCUCUUACAAGUACAGGGACAUGCUUAUACAACAAAAGGCAAACUGCACAAUAAUCUCAUUUGAACGUGCACAAAUACUCACUCCAAGGAAGGAAGGGGGCACAAAAGAAUAAUUGGUGUAUACCCGUAAUAGGAUUUCUCAUUUUCUCUCAUUUUCAUUUUUAUAUCUCAGUUUCCACCAUGAAUUAUGCCACAAAAAAUAGGAAAACCAUGAGGAAAAAAAUCAAUACAAAGAAUAUUUUGAUCAUCAACCACCUAUUAGAUGAUAUGCUGUGGAGAUACUUGAGCAAAGCCCCUUGCGCCCCUUCCACGUUCGCCAGCGUGUCAUCCAUGUUCUCAUCGAUUCUGCCAUGAGAGAAUAUGCAUCAGGGAUUAAGUUCAAAUACACAAAUUCUAUGAAAUCUGUGCUUCGCAUUAGUUCGUAGGUGAAUUAAAUGUAAGGACAUGCCUUACAAAAUUUGUCAAAAGCCUUAAAAUCAUGCUCAAGUCCUUCUAAUCAUGUGUUUUGAGAUGUAAAAAUGGCAAGUGAAAAAGAAUUUAUUGUCUUCCAAAUACUUUGCAAAUGGCCAUUGCAAAAAUGCACCAAAAACAUUUCCAUUUCAAUGAUAUUCGCUCCAUGGAAAUAGACUAUUUCAUGGGAAGUAUUGAGUUCUUAAUCAAUAUUUAUUGUUUUGAUAUGAUUCCCCAAGAAACAAAAGGUUAAGCAAUUUAAUAGCUUGAUUCACUUGGAUAAUUAAAGUUCUGUUAGGCACAAGCAGUGCUAGGGUUGUUUUAAGCAUACUGGGUACUGUCAUUAAAAACCCGGAAGUUAUAUCUUCUAAGUUCAUAAUGAAAAACCCAUUACCAAAAACACUGAAAAUAGUACUAUCUUAAAAAGCAUGUACAGAAUAUUACUCUGGAAUGUAGAUGACACACAAAUAAUCGUAAACAAGUGGAGAUCUACCGAAACUAAAGCCCCUUGAUCUUAAAUUAGCCUUGUUUAGUUAACCAAGCAGGGCUUGCAGAUCAGGCUCAGCUCACAAGCUGUGCAAUUUAGCUCAGGCUCUGUUAACUUAUAAUAUAUGAGCUAUGAACAAUUUCAAUCAGAUCAUUGAAAUUGAUCAAUGAUAACUAUGUGUAUUUGGUGUGAAAUGUAGAUAUACAAAAAUAUUGAUUGAAACCUGAUAGCAAGUUCGCCUUGCUGAGAAACCAGUGUUGCCAGCUGGUUGAAGAUGCUGCUCAACUCAUGAAUUGUAGACUCCACAUUUUGAAGAGCUUCCGCUCUGCUCUGCAUGUAACUGUCUUGUAAUGGAACCAACUGCUGUUGUUGCUGUUGCUGCUGCUGCUGCUGCUGCUGUAUCAGUGGCUGACUCUCUCCAUCAAUCUGCUUCCUGGAAAAAGAAAAAUCAGGACUAAGGUUUUAGUAGUGCACUAACCAAAGUUUCAGGUCCAGGUCAAUCUUCAAGAAUGAUGCUUCAUGAGAAAUUACGAGCAGCUAGAAUUUUCACAUGCUACAAAGAAGCCUAAAAAAGAACUUCCACGUUCAGAAGUCAAUUAAAAGCAAAACGAGUUUAGAAGUAAAGUUAAUUGGAUGAAGCAUAUUAACAUCAUUGGAAAUAUUCCCUGUCACCCAGAAGGAAAGAAUUCAGAGAGCAGAAAUUAGAAAAGAAGAAAAAGUUCAAGUUGUUGCCAAAUAAACUUUGGAGAAAAUUUUAGAAGUAAUAAGAAUACAUUCACAAUUUUAAUUGAUGAUAGUUGCCUUGCAAUUUUUGGAAUGAAAAAAUGUAACUCUAAUAUAAGUUAUGAAUUAUCCUCGACAUAUCAAAACUCAGUGGUAAAGCUGUGUUAUGUUUCAGCCACGGAAAGAUUAUUAGUAAUUCAGAACUCACAAUGCUGGUGAUCUCACAUCAGUAUGAAGCAAAGACAAUUGAACAAGCAUUUACCUGGGAAAUAACUGGGAUGAAGAUGGGGAUCCAUUAGCCCAUGGAGGAGGGCUUGCUGAGGCACUAGCAGCAGACCUGGUAGCCAAUGGACGUUGACGAACAAAAGGAUUUGUAGAAUCUUUUGAAGCAGUGGAAAACAACUGUCUUCUGUUCUCAUGAACCUUCAAGUUCUUCAUAAAUCCAAUAAAAUGCAAUCAGUCUAGGAGAAGAUAUCAUAGAAUAGACUUCUGUUGACGUUACUUGGCUAAUCCAGCAAGUAACAGUGUGCAACAAAAUUUUUACUUACCUCUGUUCGCAUAGUGAGAACUUCUUUGAACUCCUUUGUGGCGCUCAUCAAGCGGUUUUUCAGGUCAUCAACAACUGUGGUCGAAUGACUGGUGGUGUCACUGGAGAUAUUCCCACUUUCAUUUCUGGAGUUGCUGAGAAGCUGAAGAUCUACUACUGCUGAGUUCAGAGCAGUAAUAUCCUGCUUUAUAACUGCAGUCAGCUCUUGGAUUUCCAUGGUGGGAUCAUCAAAAACUGAAGUCCUUUUAGCCACUGUAAAUCAAGGCAAUUCAAAUUGUCAAUAUAUGUAUCUACACAUCAUAGACGUUGAUCAAAACUCAUAUUUUUUCAUGCAUGCAGAUUACAGAUUAUCACAUUCCCCUUUUUUUUCCAGGCAUGAUAAUGUUAUUGAUAUAUGUGGCACGAUUUUAUGUCUUUAUUUUACUAAUACAAAAUUCAGAUACUAUUGCCUAAUUCUACUCCAAUCUUUGGACAUGGAAAGCAAAUAAUUUUAAGAAUAAUCUUCCUUUUCAUAUUGGUUAGUAGAAUUCCUUCUCAAAAUCAAUUCACAACCAAAAAAGUCCAAGCACCAUAGAGAACAUGUCAUACAUGCUAAUAUGUUAUAACUUCACGCAUAGUAUAAUGAUAUACACAGUUUCCUGCUUUAAUCCAAUUUUAAUUUUAACAAAACCUGCAGGAUUCAGUGAAGUGGACAACCUGUCAUACAAAUUUCCCAUAAAAACUGAUUAAUUGUCCUAUGUUACACUAUAUGUGUAUGCAUGCUUCCAUAUUCAAUAUCAAAGAUUAAAAUGGAGAUUGUAAUGAAAGAAACCAUGAGGUUGUUCAUCCAACUGCAAUUGAAAAACUCGUCUAAUAUUUUUUAUCUAAAUCAACUCUUCCACUUCUAUUCUCAUGACAGCCAACAGCCAAUAAACUACUAAAAUUACUUCACAUUACCAAAACCGAAAUUGCACAUUUGCAUGUGCCACCCACCCGUCCACUAUAAUAUUUCAAAUGCUUCUUUCUUCCACUAAAAAUAUGUGCAUUUCCAUUCAAAUACACUUCAGUUGUAUCAUCCAAGAAUUACCAACCAAGAAAAUACACAUAACUAUCAUAUGUAUCAAUACUUGUUUCGCAUAUCUGUUACUUACAUUUUGCAAGCUUUGAAAGCUUCUGCAUGUGCAUUUCCAUUCAAAUACACUUCAGUUGUAUCAUCCAAGAAUUACCAACCAAGAAAAUACACAUAACUAUCAUAUGCAUCAAUACUUAUUUCGCAUAUCUGUUACUUACAUUUUGCAAGCUUUGAAAGCUUCUGCAUGUGCAUUUCCAUUCAAAUACACUUCAGUUGUAUCAUCCAAGAAUUACCAACCAAGAAAAUACACAUAACUAUCAUAUGCAUCAAUACUUGUUUCGCAUAUCUGUUACUUACAUUUUGCAAGCUUUGAAAGCUUCUGCGAUGUUUGAUGUAUUCCAAACCCAAUCUUUGAAGCUCUUUUGUUAAACUCUGACUGCAUUGCAACUGCAAAGCGCUGUUCCUCUGCUUUUGAAGCACUAUUUGCCCCAUUCUGAGUUGACGAGAAUGACUUCUUCAGCCUCUCCGCCACAUUAAGAAACUCUGGCGUCCGAUCUCGAAAUGAUGAUUGCUGCAGUUUCACAGGCAUUUUGAGCAGACCCAGAUAUUUUCCACGACCAACCUUAAAAAAUUCAAGCAAUAUAAUUAUUAGAUUAACAUAACCACAUAUCAACAUGAAAUUCCCACACCUCUCAUCACCCACUGUUUGGCUGCUGAUAAAACAGAACAAAAUACAGGAAAACGAAUCCCCAACCCUACAUAACUUAAACUGUUUAAAUUCACUUAAAAAACAAAAUUUCAUUUCAACUGAGUUGUAUACGACCACAAUCGUAAAGCUUCAAUCUGAUUAUCCUCGGUCUGUCAGCAACCCAAGACUAUAAAACUUUGCACAAUGGAAUUACCUUCAAAUCCAAAAAAGUAAGCUGAAAGCCCUUAAAUCUGCCCUAUGGAUGCCUAUAUAAUACAAGAAAUAUAAGAAAAAUAAACCUAAAGGUCUAGCUUUUCGCUACCUUGAGAACAAAAACAUUUAGCAAUAAUGAUAAAAACUGUAAAACUUGAAUUUUCUAUUCCCACAUUUUCUCAACAGCCAAUAAGAACUUAUAAUUCCAAACGAAUAAAAUAAAAUAAGAAUAAAUCUAAAAACCUAUCAUUUCCAUUGUUACAUCCAGGUCGAACUUCUUGCUUCGUUAAUAAGCGAACACCAAAAGGGGGAAAAAAAGAAAAAGUGGAAAGAACAGCCAAGAAGAAGAGGAAGAAGAAGUAAAACUCCAAUUUUCGUUGCCCGCAUUUUCUCAACAACCAAACAGUUAUUACAAUUUCAAUAAAAAACCAAAUUACCUAAAAAUCAAGCCCGAAUAAUCCACCAAAAAUGCCAGAUCUCACCACCACGAACAAAACCGAACUUCCUUCACAAAAUUCAGCUCGAAACCGAAUGAAACGCACAGAUGAAACUCUAGAUCUGGAUCCCGAGUUCCAACCAAUGCGAGUGUGAUAGUUGAAAAACUGGGGGGCAAAAUUGAAAACAAUUAAAUGAGAUUAGAUCUCUUGUAAGAGAAAUAUAUGGAAAAUUUUGAAAGGUGAGGAGUGUGUACCGAGGAAAUAAAAUAAAAUUUGUAAAAUAUAAAAAGCGUCAAGAAUUCUACCAAUGAGAUUUAAGAUUUUGCAGUGAAGUCCCUGUCUAUUUAUUGUAACUUAUUGGUCAUAAGUCUUAAGUCAUAAGUCAUUCUCUUAUUAUAAUGAUAUGAGCAAGCAAGCUCUCCAUCAUUAAAUCUAAUUGAUUUUUACAUCUUAAAAUAAAUAAAUAAAAUAUAAAAAAUUUUAAAAUUAUCAUGUAACAAUAAUAAAUUACAUAAAAAUUCUUAAUACCUUUUGAAUUUGGUAGUAAAAAAAUAGAAGUAUAAAUAGUUAUGAUAAUACGAUGAAUAUUUUAUAAUAAAAAAAUUGAAACACAUUUGUUAUAAUCCACGCAAAACAAUUGAAUCGUCUUACUUAUGUUGUCAACAAUUAGUUUUGUAAUUGCAACAUAAAACUAGGUCUAUUAUUUAUAUCAUCAAAAGUAAAACUAUUAGUAUAUAGAUUUAAAAUGAUAAAAAUACGAAGAUGAAUUUCUUUGAUUUCGUAGAUGUUGGGUUCUUGGAAAGUUUGAAAGAAAUAAAAUAGAAAGAAAUGGUAGAAUGAAAUAAAAUACAAAAUACCUUUAAAAUCCAUAAAUUAUUUUGAUAUUUUAUUUCAAUCCCAUUUUGCUUAAUUAAUUUUUCUAUAUAAAUAUCAAAUAAUUUAAAAAUAUACAAGUUUUUAACUAAUUUUAAUUAUAUUUGACUUUUUUUACUAUUUUCUACAAUAAAACCAAUUAUGAGAAAUUCAUUUUUCUUAACGGUUUUCUUUUUCUUUCCUUGAUAGUUUUUAGAGCAAAACACAAUUUUAGUAUUCCCAUUGAUAAAGGAGAUAGAGAGCAUGACUAGUUGUUUAUAUAGGCUAGACCCCUACAUAGAAAUAAUGAUAACGGAAAUCCUUGUCCAUAAAUUGUUGCACUAUUCAUUAUUAUAAUGUUAAAGUUAAAAGAAUUUUGUUUAAAGAAGUUUAAAACGAUAGUUGCAGCGAAGUUGAAUCAAAUUCAUUUGAGUAGGUAAUGCUACCAUUAACACAACCUUCUUGUGCUAGUGUUAACUUUCUCAAUGUUGCCCAAAAUAGUAGGUACAUAUGCUUUUGGUUUUGAUUAUGAUGCCUAAAGAUGAGAGAAAGUUGAUGAUCGAGAUCGUGCUUAAGAUGAUAAUGAUAGAGGAGAUGUUGGAUAACAUGAUCAAAGUCAACACCAUUAGAGCUCAUUCACCAAUGAAGUUGAUUUCACACAUUAUACUCAUGAUAAAGAUUAUGACGAGAAUGAUAAAGGGGAUGUUGAUCCAAGCAUAAUAGUUGUCAAAAAGUCGCACAAAAGGGAGGACACAAUAAAUGCUAACAAUAUUUAACGAGAAUCAUCUUUCAACCAAUUUUGAUUCAAUGAGUAUAAGGAGUCAAUGCGGUGAAUCAUCAAAUGAAGCUAAAUUUUAUUAUCUUAUGUUAUGAGGUAUGACCAACAUCCUUUACAUUAUGAGAUGAGUUCAUGUUUAAUUUAUGAUAACUAUGGUAUAUUUAAUAUCAUCCCAUAUAUCAUGUAGCGCUCAAAAUCAGAUGCAAUGAGUAUUUUAAACAAGUAUAUGAGUUAGUUUAUUGUUCUUCAACCAUUGGUAGGCAAUGAGAAGAAGUCAUUAGAUCUAUGCAUAAUAUGUUCGUAAUUACCGUCAAUAUUAUGAAAAUAUCAUAUUAUGGUACUAAUAUUAUCCCCACUUAGAUGGUCUUCCUUUAUCCUUAAGUAUCAUGGAAUCACGUUGGUCCUUGUUUUUGGUAUUAAAAGAAACUGUUAAAUGAAAUUUAUACAAACCAUUCGCCUUUAAUGAAAACAAAUAUUACCCCACAUUAAUAUUGAGUGUACACCAUCAAAACUUGUAUUUCCUUUAACAUGUGUAUUAUUGUUUACUUUUUACAAUGUCUUAAAUUUUUUUUCUAAUACUUGUUUAAGUUUUAAUUAAUUCUCAUAUGAUAUUUCUAGUAUAUCAUUAGAAUCCAACUAACAAUAUUCUAUUAAUUUAUAAUAUUUUCAUCAUUCAUCAUGAUAAUAUUUGAGCUCUUGAUAAUGAAUCAAUGAUACAUGUUACACUACAUGAUGAUUCUUGCUUACUCUCAAUUUGGUUGAAACAAAUAUAUCAACUCCACUUUGAUAAGCACACAACUCAAAUUAUCAUAUCAAGACUCUUAAAUUAAUUCAAUGUUUGGUGGUAAAAAGACUAACUCGACCAUCAAGAUGUGUAAAGUCCAUAUCACAUUUCCUCGAGCCUUAUCCCAACUCAAACAAAUAUAUUAACAUCCGAUCAUUGUAUCGAGUGUGACACCUUUAGGCGAUAUAAAAAAUCAUUAAUUUUUUUUAGAGAAACAUUCAUUUUUUUUCCCAUAAUAAGAGUUAAAUAAUUUUUUUGAAGGGUGCAUGGUGUCAUCUCAUCAAUAGGCCCCUCGACAUCCAUAACAUGCGGCCUUAUAUAAUUACUAUUAGUAAUUUUUUCAUGUUAAAAAAUGACUUAAUUUAAUAUAAGAGUAAUGCCACUUCUUUUGGAAACCCUCUGUCAAGCUUAUGCAAAUUUUAUUAAUAAAACUUUUUAAAACGGUCCUAUGACAAGGCUUGUCGUAUAGGAGAUAGAGACAACCAUGUAUUGGUAAGGUUUGACAUGCUACCACCUAUAGGAGGAUGGCUCUUUAAAUCACCAUAAAGAUUGAUGUUCAUUGUGAUGAGCCCGGUUUAGCCUCAUUGUAACUAGAUGUUCAAUGGGUGUGAACAAACUUCAGUGGUGCAUUGGCUUACAAACUGACUUUUUUUUUUUUUUUCAUAGGAAACUUUACAUAAAAUAUUUUUUUAGAGUCCUUUAAAAUUCACAAGAGGCAUAUUGUUAGUUUUGGGAAAAAAAAAUCCCUACCAUUCAUAUGUAAAAUGACCAAUUAUUCAUGCAUUGGUAGUUGAAAACUUAAUCAUAGGCAAAGUCCAUCUAGUUGACUUAAUUGUAUUCAACCAUUAAAUAAUCUUUUGAGAUUGAUAAAGUAGUCAUCUUACAAAGAAAAUUUUACAGCUCAAAAUUCAUUAAGAAACAACUACAAACAAUGAAAGAGAUCUCUAGUGAUUUAACAUCCAACACUCGUUCAAAGUAUUUAUUCUUGGUAUACUAAUUUAUCUAGGAGAAGAGUUGCGAGUGGGAAUUGUUGGACCGUGGUCAACAGUGCUUCCUCUGAGUAGUUUUCCUCUUACAUGCAUUAGACGGACCUACAAAAAGGCAUGUCUAGAUCUUGGUCCGAGCGAGCCCCUUCGAUGGCUAAGUUCAUGCAAGGGUUAGAUUGCAUACCUUUCCUUUUGGUUGUUUAGUGUCUUUUAUAGAUGAUGAUCUAUAAUGUGAUUCUUGCCUUUAUGAUUGCCUUCAAUUAUGGUUGUAAUGCAUAACACUCAAAUCUUGACUUUUUGUAACGAUUGCUUAUUCACUGCAUGUAAUGAUUGUUGUAUGUAAUCACCUGGCUACUCAGAUAGAUAUCACCUUAGUUGGGUGGUAGGCUGCCCGGAGAGUUCAUUCUGGUGGAUCUAUUUGGGUUGCUCACUAUUUAGGCACCCAUAUGUUGGUAAACUGGGCAUCAAAGAAAAUAAAGUUGUAUGCUAGGUGUCUUCAAAGUUAGAUCUAGGUGAUAUUAAAGUUAACACCUUGUUCCCAACCAGCAAUUACAACAGUACCAACACUAAUCGUUUUUUCAACUUAACUUCACCUUACAACUUAAAAAUAAAAGCAACAUGUUAUUAUUAAGUAGCACAUCUAUAACGAGUAGCACUGAAUGACAUUCUUGAGGAUGUUUGAAGUUAAUAGUCGAUUUUAUUAAUUUAAAUAAACUCAUUACUUGACCAUGAGUGUUUGAAUUCAAGAAUGUUUAAGGACUCACAAAAUUAAUAGCAUAUGAAGGCUAAGAUCACUGCUAUGUGCAUGAUUAGCGAUUUGAACCAAUUAAGGUAAGAUUAUAGCAAAUUGACAAUAUUUUGUUCCAAAUGUAGUGCUAUACGUGUUCUGACAAGGUAAGAAAAAAAUUAUUGAAAGUUGUCUUAUCUUAUUUUGUUGGUAUUAAGGGUAUGGAAACAAAUGACUAGCCUAAAAGACACAAGCAAAUAACAUAAUUAAUAAGAAGAAAAACUUAUUGGUUGAAGCGUGACAAACACUGUCUUUGAAAUAGAUCUACCUUCCUAGAAAACGAACUCGGUGUACCAAGGUACUGGUGGUCUACCUCUAGGAUUCAACAAUCAGAUCUUGCCUUGGGUGUACUCUGUAAGUGAGAUGUGUACAACUCGGGUUUUGAAAAAAUUUCUCCAGAUAGAUGUAUGAAAAUACUCUCUGGAAAAUUGGUAUUCAUAUUUAGAGAGUGAUAGGUGACCUGCUUUUAUAGGCCACUAACGCAAUCCCAAUGAGACUCUACUUGUAAUUAGAAUAUGACUUAAUGUGGAAAGAUAAAAUGAAUGAGACUUCACUAGCACAAUCCCAAUAGGACUCUUCCCAAAAAUAUAAAACUAAUGGAAUAAAAUAAAAUAAAAAUAAUUCCUAGGAGGAUUCUUCCCAAAAAUAUAUGACUAAUAGAAUAACAUAAAAUAAAAAAAUUAUUUACACUCUUCCUACAAUCCCCUACAGAGCGUAAACGUGAUUUUUUUUUUUUAGGAAAAAAAAAUUCAAUGCAUCAGUACUGGUGCACAAAGGUUAUGAAUCAGUCUUAGGACAAAUAAGUAUUGAAUCACAAAACACGGUAAAAAUAAAUUUUUAUGAACCAGUGUUUCUUUAUGUAACUUAAUAGACUUUUAUCCACAUUGGUUUUUUCAACUACACUAUGAGCUGUACAAAAUGGGUUGACACAAACAGGUCAUGCGCCUUACAUGGAUAUUCAUGAGAGCUCUAGAGAACCUGCCUAAGUUCUCAUAGGAAGCGGUCCCACCUCCACUUUCAUAUAGGUGAAUCCAUCAUGCAUGUUCCGUAUUAAACAUACCAUCCAUAAGGAAUAUGGUAUUCAUUAAGAGUAAACACUCAACCUUAGUCGAUGCAGAAUACGUUCUAUCUACACCAUAGGGAUGGACUCUCAUAUAAUUAGAGUUGAUAGAGCACCUCAAGUCAACAAAUAAUUUGUUAUUACCCAUAUGAACCUACUUCAUGGAAUUUCCAUUCUAAUAGGUUAAGUUACCACCAUUCUUAACUUUUGUAAUAGGCAUAAGCCCCAUCCCCCUUGAUGUUUCUUCCACUAGUUUCUUAUUUAGUGGUUUGGUCAAAGGAUCGACCAAAUUCAACUCUAACCUCACAAAUUCUAGGGAUAUAACCCAUGUUUCAAGCAGCUGUCGCACAAUAUUCUGCCUUAGGCGUAUAUGUCUGUUAUUUCCAUUAAAUAUUUUACUCUUAGCUUUAACAAUUGCAGUUUGGCUAUCACAACGCAUAGACACAGACGGGAUUGGUCUUGUCAAUAAAGAGAUAUAUGCUAAGAGGUUUCUAAGUCAUUUAACUUCAGAACUUGUCUUUUCUAAUGUAAUAAAUUCAGUCUCCAUAGUAGACUGAGUAAUGCAAGUUUGCUUGGCAGACUUCCAAGAAAUUGCACUUUCAACAAUGAUGAAAACAUAUCCAUUAGUGGAUUUCAUAUCAUCUGAAUCUGAUAUCCAAUUUGUAUCACUAAAUCCUUCAAGGACACUUGGAAAUCCACUAAAACACAAACCAUAGUUAAUGGUGCCUCUCAAAUACUUAAGGACUCUACGAACAACAGUCCAAUGGUCCUGAUUAGGACUUUGGGUGUACUGACUCAAUCUACCUACUGCAUAAGCAAUGUCAGGUUUGGUAUAGUUCUUAAGUACAUUAGGAUCCUUAUGAUCUAAGCAUACUCUAUUUAGGCAACACUAUGUUCUCUAUUUUUCUUCAACUGUGAGUUAGGAUCAUAAGGAGUUGACACCAGCUUACAAUCAAAGUAUUUAAACUUCCUUAGGAUCUUUUCAACAUAGUGUUCUUAAGAAAGUUUCAGCCCAUUUGGUGUUCUAGUUAUUUUAAUUCAUAGAAUCACAUCUGUCUUUCCUAGGUCUUUCAUAUCAAACUUAGAACCUAGGAAUUUCUUGGUCUCACACACAACCUCUAGGCUAGUUCCAAAGAUUAGCAUGUCAUCAACAUAAAGGCAGAUGACUACACAUGUGUUAUCCUCAUACUUGUUGUAGAAAUACACUUAUGAGCAUCAUUAAUGGAAUAUCCAUUAGUUACUAACACAUGAUCAAACUUGUUGUGCCAUUGUUUGGGAGUUUGUUUUAACCCAUAUAGUGAUUUAACCAACUUACACACCUUUUUUUUCCUUCCCUUGAACUACACAACCCUCAGGUUGAUCCAUAUAAAUUUCCUCUUCCAAAUCCCCAUUCAAUAAUGUAGUCUUAACAUCCAUUUGUAUCACUAAAUUAUGAAUGGAAGUUAGAACGAUCAAUACUCUAAUUGAUGUUAUUCUAGUCACAAAGGCAAAUGUGUCAAAUAAUCUACAUUCUUCCUUUGUUUAAAGCCUUUGACAACUAAACGAGCUUUAUACUUCUCUAUAGACCCAUCUUAUUUUAACUUUCUUUUAAAGAUCCAUUUACAACCAAUAGUCUUUGCACCAGGAGGUAAAUAUACUAACUCCCAUUAUGGUUAUACAUGAUUGAUUCGAUUUCACUAUUUAUGGCCUCUUUCCAAAAUGAUGCUUCAAGAGAAGUUAUAGCUUAUUUGUAGGAUUUAGGGUUCUCAUCUAUUAGGAAGGUGUAUAAACCAUCUCCAAGGUUUGUUUUUUUUCUUAUCUCUUUUACUCCUUCCAGGUUCAAAUUCAGAAUGUUUAAUAGAAUUGUCUCUACUUGUUUUAUGAACUUGUUGUUCACCAUUUAGUUUCAUAGGAAAGAUGUUUUUAAAGAAAUUUGCAUUCUUUAUUUCUAUUAUAGUAUUGACAUCUACAAGACUGUUUUAUGACUUAGUAACAAGAAACCUAUAUGCCGCACUCUUCUCAGCAUAGCCAAUGAACAUUGCAUCAAAGGUUUUAGGACCUAGUUUUUGUUUUUUAGGUUCAAGGAAAAGAACUUUAGCUAAACACCCCCACACUUUCAAGUAUGCUAUAUUAUAUGCAUAACCCUUCCACAACUCAUAAGGAGUUUUACCAGUUUUAUUGUAAGGUAUUCUAUUUUGAAUAUGACAAGCGGAUAGGAUAGCUUCCCUCCCACAAGUUCAAGGGUGCUCUUGAACUAACUAACACUAUAUUCAUCAUUUCUUUUAAGGUCCUAAUUUUCCUUUAUGCUACUCCCUUAGACUUAGGGGAAUAAGGAAGAGUAGUUUCGUGAAUGAUCCCAUGAUUUUCACAAAGAAUUAAAGGAGUUUUUCUUCUAUUACAUUAGCCUCAGAAGAAAAUUCUUUAGCUUUCUCAACAUUAUCCCUAUUUUGGUUUUGUUCCUCAGUUUUAAUAUAGAUUAUGACAUCCUCUAGGGACAUCUGUUUCUUUUUAUGUUUCAUGUUAUUUUUGUAGUCUUUCUAAGACUCUGGAAGAGUCUCUACUAAAUAACCAACCACAAAAGGUUCGGGUAAUUGAAUGUCUUCAAUAACUAAGUCAUUAAUCAACAAGUGGUAGUCAUGGAUUUGAUAUGAUAUAUCUCUAUCCUCAGUCAUUUGGAAAUUUCUAAAAUUCCCUAUGACAUAUUUCUAAGUUUCUGCAUCUUCCAAAAUAUAUUUUUUAUUCAUUGCAUCCCAAAUUUCUUUUGCAACUUUAAAUUGACAAUAAAUAUCAAAAAGUUCAUUAGAAAGGGUACUCAGAAUAGCAUGCCUAACUUGUUUAUUUCCAGUUUCCUAGGUUGGUAACAGAUGAGAAAUAUCUUCUAAUUUUGGGUCAAUCAAAAUGUGUCCUAAGUUCACUACAUCAAUUGCAGAGAAAACUCUUUCCUGUCAUUUCUUAAAGAAUGUCCCAUUGAAGGGAUCAAUUUUAGAGAUGUUAGGACGGGUGUGAACUUGAGAAACUUCCAUUUUGAUAUAUUUCAAGAUUGUUGGUAUUAAGGGUAUGAAAAUAAAUGACUAGCCCAAAAGACACAAACAAAUAACAGAAUUAAUAAGGCGUGACAAACACUGUCAUUGCACUUUGUAAGUGAAAUGUGUAUAACUUGGGUUUUGAAAAAAUUCCUAUAGAUAGAUGUAUGAAAAUACUUUUAAAAAAAAUAGUAUUCAUAUUUAGAGAGUGAGGGGUGACCUACUUUUAUAGGGCACUAACACAAUCUCAAUGUGACUCUACUUGUAAUUAAAAUAUGACUCAAAAUGGAAGAUGAUUCUACUUAUAAAAUGAAUGAGACUCCACUAGAACAAUCCCAAUAGAACUAUUUCCAAAGACAUAAGACUAAUAGAACAAAAUAAAAUAAAAAUAAUUCCCAAGGAUUCUUCCCAAAAAUAUAAGACUAAUAGAAUAACAUAAAAUAAAAAAAUUAUUUACACUCUUCCUAUAUGUCUAAAUAAUUUUUUUUCCUUUUUAACUUUAACAACUUUUUAUUUAUCUCGUGCAUGGAUAUUCGAAACACCCCAUGAUUAAACAUACAUGAUAAAUAUGAACUUAAAAUAAGAAGUAUAUAAACUUAUAAUAAUUUUUUUUUAAAAUUUCUAUGAGAUAUUCUUUAAUGAAAAAAGUAUAAUUAUAAAAUAAAAUUCUUAAUAGUAGAUGGAUUUCAAAAUUAUAAUAACUCACAUUUUAGCUUUGAUGUACGUUCUCUUAUAAUUUAUUUAUUUGUUCUUAAUGAAAGGAACAAAACCUUUGGGGUGGAGAACUAAGGUGAAUCAAAAUAAAUUUAAAAAUUUUAAUAUUUGAUUUUAUUUAUUUAUUCACAUAUUCAAAAACUUUCUAAAAUAUAUUUUAGGGGAGAAUUGAGGUUUGUUUAAUAAUUGUUUUCGAAAACAGUUUUUGAAAAUAAUUUUUGAAAUUGUUAUAAAAAAAAUCAUAUUUUUUUGUUCUUAAAAAUAAUAAUAAUAAAAAAAUAGUUUUUUAUUAUUAAACAUGUUUUUAUGAUUUUUUUUAAUAAAAAUUAUUCUCAAAAACCGGUGUUAAACCAGCUAUUGUUUUCUCUUUUUCUGUUUUCACAACUGUGAUGAUGAAGAGCAUAUUAGGAGAUGAAUGCAAGUAAAUUUGUAAAAUAUGUUUUACUAGAAAUAACGGUAAAUAUAUUUAGAAAAAUAAAUUAUAAAAAAUAUUUAAACCUAGGCCAGAAGGAAACUCCAGGAGGAAAGUGGUCAGCUGGAUUUACGCAGUUUGUGUGUCCAGCGGUGCAUCACUCUGCUGGUCACUUCCACGUGGAUCAAUGCCAUUGGUUGUUCACACUCUCAAAUCAAUGCUGCCGUCUCUCUAAUGGCCCUUUUCGUUUUCUCAUUGACCACGUCACUAUGUACGGUUACUACCUUUUCGUGUCUAAGAAGCACCACGGCCUCGCGUACACGAACCCCAGUUACUCGCCACCGGUAGCUCAUGCAACUCACAGUCCAGUGGUCACAGUCCUGCGCCAUUCACGUGCCAUUCUCCCAGAGCGAGUUCAGAGGCUACCCAUACUCGAGCGAGUGGUCACGGAUUUCCACAAUGGCGCGACACGACUCAAAAGCCGAAUGGCAUUUCCGACAUUUCACAGCAUUCCAGGGUCAAUUUCAAAACCCAUAAAAGGAAAAGCUGAAUAAAAGCUUUUCUGUCAAAAAUAGCUCUUUGGCAAACUUACUUCGAAUCUCAUCCGUCCACGUCAUCAAGUUCUCAAUCUCCACCGUCCAUUUUCUGUUUCCGGAUCACGAAACCAUGACCCAAAUUUAUUAGUCAUAGGGCCGCAACCAGAGAAGCGAAAUCUCCACCACAGAUUUCUAAUCAGACGGCCCAGAUCAUCCUCAGUAGUUUCACAUUAUUUUCAUUUCAUUAUUUAUUUAUUUUUAUUUUUAUUUUUUGUUUUACAAUCUAAACCCUUCUCGCUCUCGUGAAACCAAAGAAACCCUAGCAUUCUCUCUCAUCUCUUUCUCUCUCUAUUUUUUUUUUAAAAAUAAAAAAUAAAAAAUUAUUCAAAAAUCGACUUAGGGUUUCGGUUCCCAAUCUCAGAUUCGAACCCUAAUUUUGUUCGGUGUUGUGAUCUUGGCGGUUUGGUGGAGAAAUCGAUGUUUCGUGUUCGAUGUUUACGCUUUGAUCCAGGUGCGAGCUUGUAUGUUUUUUUUUGUUUGAAUUUUGGUGAAUUAAUUAAAGUUUGUUUUUUAGGAAUGAUUUAAUUUUCUGUGUAAAAUGAGGCUUGAUCGGUGACAAUCGUUUAAUUUUGUUUUUUGGGGGGUUUUUGGGCGAUUUUUUGGUGCUUCAGAUCUGGAUUCUGUGUAGAAAUAUGUAUGAUGGAAUAUAAAAGUUGGUGGUUUGGGUUUGGGCUGUUUGGUUUGAGGGAUUGUUGAUGGAACAUAGCGUAGAAAACUCAGGUGGUAGUGAAAUUUCGAAGAAAUCGAGAUCUUUAGAUCUUCAGAGCAUAUAUAGAUCUAAGGUUUCACAAGAGGGUGAUAAUAAGAUCUUGAAGCGAAAACAUAGUUCAGAAAAUGAUGGGGAGGUUGAGUCGGGACAGGGGAAGAAGAAAAGUAACAGUAGAAAAGCCGUAUCUCUGAGUAGUCUGAAAUCCCUUCUUAAAAACAGUCACAAGAGUUUAGAUGAAGUGUACGCUGAUGGGUUGGGAUCGGGCUCAAGUUCAGGUUUGCCUGAUUCAAAGAAGAAAGAAUUGGGGCUGAGUCAGAAAUUGGAUGACAAUAGUGGGUUAAAUAGCAUUUCGCGUAAUUUGGAUAAUAAUGUUAUUCGAAUUCCAAAACGCCCACGUGGCUUUGUACGGCGGAGGAGAUUUGAUGGUAAUCACAUGUUGCAGCCAGGGAGGUCAUCACCAGCUAGUAGUAAAGAUGUGUUUGUUGAUCAGAUAACUAAGUUAAGUGAUGAUUCGGCCACUCGGGUUGUCCCUUUGAAAAUUAAGCGCAAAAAGGGUUUUGAUGAUUUUAAGGAAAAUAGGUCUAGUGGGUCUAGUUCAGCUCCACACUACAAGGAGGGUGAUGAGAUCAAGGUUGUAGACAAUGGCAAUUCAUCUUUGAGAAAGAGAAUGCCACGGAAGAAGCAGGUGAAAAGGAAGAAUUUGUCAUCAGAAGGUAAAAGUAUUGUGAAGGAGGAGGCGGUGCCUUUAGCUGAUAAUCCUAUUAAAAAUUGUGAUGAAGAGGAUGAGGAGAAUCUUGAAGAGAAUGCAGCAAGGAUGCUUUCAUCUCGGUUUGAUCCAAACUGUACUGGGUUUUCGUCAAAUGGCAAAGCUUCAACACCUCAAUCAACAAAUGGGCUGUCCUUUUUGUUAUCUCCUGAUCAGGAUUGUAUGAUUCACAGGAUGAAUUCUCUUGUUGGUUCUGAAUCUGCAUCUGUUGAUACUGCUGGCAGAGUAUUACGACCACGAAAACAGCACAAGCAGAAGGGUCUCUCAAGGAAAAGGCGUCAUUUCUAUGAAAUUUUCUCCAGGAACUUGGAUGCCUACUGGGUAUUGAACCGAAGGAUCAAAGUCUUUUGGCCAUUGGACCAGAGUUGGUAUUUUGGUCUUGUGAAAGACUAUGACCCAGAAAGAAAGCUUCAUCAUGUGAAGUAUGAUGACCGAGAUGAAGAAUGGAUUGACCUGCGACAUGAGAGAUUCAAGCUCUUGCUACUUCCUAGUGAGGUUCCUGGUAAGGCUGACAGGAAAAAAAUGGAAAUGGGAGAUAAAUGUCCUGAUGAUGAAAAUGAAGAAAGAAAGCACAGAAAAAGAGGAGGAAAGAGAGACUUGCCUAUGGAGGAUGAUAGCUGCAUAGGCGGAUACAUGGACUCAGAACCCAUCAUCUCAUGGUUGGCUCGAUCUUCCCGUCGGAUCAAGUCUUCCCCUUUUCACGUUAUGAAGAAACAGAAAACGUCUUACCCAUCUUCAAAUGCCGUGCCAUCACUGUUAUCUGAUAAUACUGACAGCAAUGCACAGGGGUGCCUUGAUGGCAGCUCCCUGAAAAGGGAUAAAGAUAGAUUAAAUAAUUCUGCAAUGCCUGAUGAAUUUACUGAUGCUGAAAAAAUUGAGAAGUCUGUUCCUGGAAGCACCAUUUGCUACAAAGAUGAAAAAGUUCCAAUUGUUUAUUUCAGGAGGCGAUUGAAGAGGUUCCAGGGACUGCAUUAUGUUUCUGAGGUUCACAAUGUAUGCGGAAGUGCAUCUGAGCUGGUUCCUUCACCUGUUCCUGUAAUUGAUAGGUUGGGGACUUUGGAAGAAUUCCUUCUUUCCUUGAGACAGUCUGAUCAAUUUGCGUUAUUGUGGUCCAGUGAUGGUGCUGGGUUACUAAAAUUAUCUAUCCCAAUGAUAAAUUCUAGGCAUUUCAGAUUUGAAUUCAGUCUCCCUGCACUUCCAGUUCUCAAUUGUGCAUUUGGAGCAGAGAACUUUUGGUUGUUUCACACUGUGUUGUUACAUCAGUAUGGUGUGGUGAUGCCUAAGUGGCCAAAGGUUCGUUUGGAGAUGCUUUUUGUUGAUAAUCUUGUUGGGUUGAGGUUUCUCUUGUUUGAAGGUUGCUUGAAGCAGGCUGUGGCCUUUGUUUGUCUGGUCCUGACAAUAUUCAAUCAACCUAAUGAACAGGGGAGGUAUGUUGACCUGCAAUUUCCAGUAACUUCAAUCAAGUUCAAGUUGUCUUGCGUUCAAGAUCUUCAAAAGCAGCUUGUAUUUGCGUUCUAUAAUUUCUCUAAAGUGAAAGACUCUAAGUGGUUCUACCUAGACUGUAAGCUUAAAAGAUAUUGUUUGCUCACCAAACAACUACCUUUGUCGGAGUGCACAUAUGAUAACAUUAUGGCGCUUCAAAGUGGAACAAAUCCGUUGUUUCUUACUUCUGCCUGGGGCGAGCCAGCCUCAACUGAGGUAUGCUUUUUAUUUUUAUUCCCUUUGCAAGUUUGUUUCUCUGUGAUCUCUGUUUUUUUGAGUCCCAUUUUAAUUAAUUUAUUUUUUGUUUGAUCUUUGUGCUAUCAACUGUAUGCAUCCUUCUUGCUUUCAUAUUCUUAAUGAGUUUACAUAUCAACUAAAUAGAAAAAUUAUCCUUGCUGUCGCAUAUUUAGGCAUUGAAAUUUUUGUAAUGCAAUCAAUUGUAUUUGUUUCAUAUUUGUUAUUGACUUUUGUUGGUUGUUUUACUACACAGUGUCCGCGGAAGAGGUCUAGGCUGGGUGUUAUCCACAUGGGGGUCUCCAGAGAGUCCACUUUUGUGAAUAUGAGCCAGUCAUCUUCUAGUUUGGAUGUGAAUCAAGGAAAACUUCCUCCAUUUGCCCUAUCCUUUAAUGCUGCACCUACUUUUUUCCUGGGCCUCCAUCUCAAGCUGCUCAUGGAGCACAGAGUUGAUAGUACAUGCUUGCAUGAUCACAAUCCAACAUCCCCAAAGCAAAAUCUGGAGAGUCUGACAGAGGAUGUUACUUGGUCUGGACAGUUUUCUGGUGCUAACCCUCAGAUUGCUAAGCAGGCUCAAUCUGCAUGCAAUGAUGAUGAUCGGAUAAAUUCCUUCCAGAAAUAUGAAAACAGCAACCUUAAUGUUGCUGGAACCUCUGCCUGUUCUGAAGAUACCGGAGAAACUGGAAUAGAUGCCAUUGUCCAAUUGCAGGAGCAGCAAGGGUACCAUUCAGAGGCAGAACAAUGCAUUCUAUCUCCCCAGCCUUUGCUUCUCAAUGGCCAUUCUUCUACUGGGAAGUCCAAUGUUGGGUGCUAUUCCCGUUUGAAUGGUAUCAAUGUUCAAAUUCCAACAUUUGACCAAGUUGAGAAAUCUUUUGAUAGGGGAGCAGAUAUCAGUAUCAGCCAACAGUCUGUUGAUUUGAGUUGGAAUGUGAAUGAUGGUGUCAUUCGUAGCCCAAACCCCACUGCUCCCAGGAGUAUGUGGCAAAGGAAUAAAAAUAGUUUUUCUUCAUCGUUUGGAUACCCCUCGCAUAUGUGGUCCGAUGGAAAGGGUGACUUUUUCGGCAAUGGUUUUGGUAAUGGACCUAAGAAACCACGUACCCAGGUCUCAUACACACUGCCUGUUGGAGGUUUUGAUUUUAGCUCAAAGCAGAGAAGCCAUCACCAGAAAGGGCUUCCUAACAAAAGAAUCAGGCGGGCUAAUGAGAAGAGGUUAUCAGAUGGUUCUAGAAGCUCUCAACGAAACCUAGAAUCAUUAUCUUGUGAGGCAAAUGUAUUGAUUACAUUUGGGGACAGAGGAUGGAGAGAAUCUGGAGCCCAAGUUAUAUUAGAGCUUGGUGAUCAUAAUGAAUGGAAACUUGCUGUAAAAGUUUCUGGGGCUACAAAGUAUUCAUACAAGGCACAUCAAUUUCUGCAGCCCGGGACAGCAAAUCGAUUCACACAUGCUAUGAUGUGGAAAGGGGGAAAAGAUUGGAUUUUGGAGUUUCCAGACCGAAACCAGUGGGCGCUUUUUAAGGAAAUGCAUGAAGAGUGCUACAACCGGAAUGUUCGUGCUGCGUCAGUCAAAAACAUACCUAUUCCUGGUGUUCGCUUCAUAGAGGAAAUUGAUGAUAAUGGAACUGAAGUACCAUUUGUUCGCAAUUCUCCUAAGUACUUCCGGCAGAUUGAAACUGAUGUUGAUAUGGCUUUGGAUCCAUCUCGUAUCUUAUAUGACAUGGAUAGUGAUGAUGAACAUUGGAUUUCAAAAAUUCAAAAUUCUACAGAAGUUAACGAGGGUACCUGGGAAGAGUUCUCUGAGGAUAUGUUUGAGAAGGUGAUGGAUAUGUUUGAGAAGGCUGCAUACGUUCAACAGUGUGAUGAGUUCACAUUUGAUGAAUUAGAUGAGCUCAUGGUUGGAUUUGGCCCAACAAAAUUAGUCAGAAUCAUCCACGAGUAUUGGCAACGAAAGAGGCAGAAAAAGGGAAUGCCAUUAAUCCGACAUCUCCAGGUACCUUUUGAAGCUGUCAUUAUUCUUUAUUUAUUUAUUUAUUUUUUAUGCUUUUCGAGUUUAGUAUGUGCAUAUGCUUAAUUUUAAAGCUCCAAUUUUGUUGAGAUGGCACAUUACUUAGUAUUUGCUUUGUGGAAAUGAUCUCAAUGUUAUUUACUUCUAGUUGAAAUUUGUUUAUAGCCUUCUCUACCACAUCCUAUCUUUGGUUACAGAAAUGCUUCCUAGAUGAUUCUUUCUUGAAUAAUUAUGGUUUUUAAGUUCUCUUUGAUGAAUCCAAUACUUUCUCCCUUGUCUCUCCAAUUGCGUUAUAGCUUGAUGUAGGAUAACUCUCAAAUUUAGAAGGUAAAUGGUGGGAUAGAUUUGAAAUUGCAGAGUAGACUCUAAAGAAUUUUGGUUAUGAUGACUUAUUAAUUCAUAGAGGGUGCAGACAACAAUGGGAAACACUGUUGACAAUAGAAAAUGAGAGGGAAAGGUUAUUUGGAAAACGAGGAUUGGGGGAUUUAAUCUCUAGGUUUGCUUCCUAAGUCUAGUGCCAUUGUGCUCUUGAGUUACCAAAAGACCCAAAAUACUUUCGAACAAGGAGAUGAUUUCAUUUCAAAUCACUGUUAAUUAAGCCAUUGUUCAAAUAAGCAUCUGAGAAACAAGAUUGUUAACAGAUCGUUGAACAAUAGAUUAAAAUUUAGAACUGAAAGGUUCUUGGGAAUGGAAAAAUAAUUUAAUAGUGGAUAGAGGAGUGACAAAAAAAAAUCAUAAAUGUUAUCAAGAAUGGAUAGAAAUUAGACAAAUACAAAACAAAAACUUGAAGCAUAUGGCCUUUUAUUUGCCCAAGGAAAUUGGAAUCUAGAUAUCAUAUAGAUCUAAACCUCAUCUAGGAAUGGAUUCAACAAAUAAAUGAAACCCUGUAUGGUCAUGGUCAAGCAAAAUAAGUGAAACAUUAAGGAGGAAUCAACAAUUCUUAAUCUUAGGAGUUUAUUAGGAUUUCAAGUACAUAGAUUGGUAGGCAUCAUUGUCACCAAACUUGGAAUUUAAUCAAGCACCCCACUUCCAUGAUGGUUUAUUUAUUUUUUGCCCUUUGACAAGAUGGUUUAUUUGUGUUCUAAAGAUAAAUCACCUUCCUGACAUUUAUUCACCACUACAGUAAUCAUUAAUGCUGCAAUCACAAUGGCCCACCAUAGAAGCACUGCUCCACUCCCAAUCACAACCAUUGGUCUUAUGAUACUAACAUACACAUUAUCUUAUACACCAAAACCACCAUCACUACCUUCCUCUUCAUGAGCUAGAAUGAUUAACAGAAAGGCUUACACUCUCUAUUCAGUUGUCAUAUGGUUGAUGAUAACAUCAGAAGUGUCCUAGAAUUUAGCUUUUUGUUGAGCAAAUCAGUAAGUUGAUCAUUAGAUCUUAGCCAUGGCAGGUGGAUCUUGACUUUGUUUAAGAUUGACAGUGGGAAAUUUUAUUUAGGGGCCAGUGGAUGAUAUCUUGGAAGUUUGAUUGUUUUAAUGUUUGGGGUUAGGUUUAUUUGAGGGGUUAGUGAGUGAUUUUGAAUAUAAAUACAGUUAUAGCGUUCUUGCUAGAAUAUCUUGCCUAUAUCUUCCAGUGUGUGACAUUGUUUCUGACAGGCAAUAAUGAUUUUAUUUAUUGAAAAUGGCCUAACAAUAUGGGACACACCCUACAUACACAUGAGUAAUACAGUGAGCAUCUAAGACACAAAAGGAACCUUAAACCCCACUUAAAUAGUUGACUAAGGGGGUGUUUGGUAAAACCUAAUACUUAUUACUUAAUGACUUAAGUUGACUUUAAGUUAAAUUAUGCUUAAGUUGUUGACUUAAAAUUUAUUACUUAAUUUUUAGUUUAAAUAUUAAGGUUGUUUGAUAAAAUUAAUUUAAAACUAAUUCAAAUUGACAUAUUUAUCUUCAUAAAUUAUAACUAGGGUAAAGGAGGUUGAGUAAUAGUGGAGGUUGUGGAGUAGCAAAGGAGAUCAUGGAGUUAACUAGGGCAAAGGAGUGAAAAAAUAAAAUGAAGAUUUGAAUUUAAGAAUAAGUUAAUCGUGUUUACUUAUUACUUAAAGUUGCUUUUGACUUUAAGUCAUACCAUUAAGAUAUUUUACCAAACACUUAAUUUAAGUAAAUGACUUAAAUUAAGUUAUUAAGUUGGUUUACCAAACACCCAUUGAGUCUCGAAAAUUUCAUAGUUACAAUCUGAUACCAUGUUUAGACCAUGACAGAAAAAUUCUUGCAAAAGAUUUUUCAUCGUCACUGCUGAGCUCUCCACACCCUGAAAACAUCUUUUGCAUGCCCUCUCCAAAUGAACCAAAUUAGAUAGAGAGGGAUGUAACAUAGUAUAUUGUCAUGCUUUUUCAGUAUCACUUCCAGUUUUAAACAUUCUGCCUAAGGUGUGCUGGAGUGUGACAUGGAAUUUUGUCCAUCAAGUGUAUGGAUGAAAAUUUUCAAAAGCAUGAAAUUUCUGUAAUUGAUCAUUUGCUUCAGUCCUAAUUCUGAACUAAUGGGAAGUGCUGAACAAUUUUUUUCUAAUUAAAUCGUAAAAGCAGUGUUGGUAACAUUUAUGUUAAUGCAUUGUUGCUCCACCUGCCCUUGGUUGUUUCUUUCUGGUUUAUUGUUGUCUAAUUUUUACAUUUUUAUGCAAUUUAAUUAUUAGAUUGUCCCUCGCCUGUCUCAUACACAUACACAUGCUACACAGGUUACUACAAGGUUGUAGCUGAUUGUGCAAAUUGUCUAAUUUAAUUAAAUCUGAUGUUGUUGAAGUAAUGGAUUAUUGAAGGAUCUAGUUUUAUUUUUAUUUUGUUAAACUUAUCCACCAUAUGGAGACAAUGAUUUCUCUAUGUUACUCUUUACUGAACUGCAACUCCAUGCCAUGAUUGGUAAUUUGGUGAUGAGCUGCACUCUAAUGUCAAUUGGUGAUGCCAUUAUACCUCUGAUUCAAAAGAGUGCUUUAGAAUUAUUGAACAAUUCCACUUCAUUAUUUUUGUCUCUCUUCUAUUGUAAACCUAUGAUACCCAGAUUCUCUACAUGAGCCCACCUGCACUGAACCCUACCAUGCAACAUAGAUGUAACUAAAUCUUACUUUGGAACAGGAUCUAUGCUGUAUUCAAUGUGUCAUUUCUUUAAUUUUCAGCUUUAUGUUUUUCCCUCAGAUGAUAAGAGUUUUCUGUUUAGCCAUAUUUGGUUUGUGUUACUCUGAAGGUUGUGGUCCUUGCUGUGCUCAAACUGAAAAAAGGCAUUUGGAAAUAUAAAUCUCCCAUUUUUUGUGUAUAUGGUCUUUUUUCUGGUUAUUGAAUUUAUUUUCAGCAAAUAUAAAUAAAACCUGCCCUAUUUGCAUAUUUUUUAGAACCAUUUAUGUUUUGCAUACUUAUGAUUAGUCUGAUGGAUUUCAAAAAUUUUAACAUGGAUUAAAUUUGGAUUUCUUGUUUCAUGUUAACUUCAGUCUGUCUUCUAAUUUUAAUACUUUGUGGGAGAAAAAAAAGGGCAAUUCUUUGGCUCUUACCAAAUUCCUGUGUUAUUUAUUUGUUAUGUUUCUUUCCCUGAGUUUUAUUUUUUCUUGUUUUCUGUUUUGCUUUUGUUUUAUUUAAUUUAAACCAGAUUAAUGUUGUCUAGUACAUAUCUAAAUUUCUUGUGCUUGAUUCAGCCUCCACUAUGGGAAAUGUAUCAACAACAACUGAAAGAAUGGGAGCAAGCAAUGAUAAAAAACAACACCGUCUCCUCCCAUGGAUGGCAGGAGAAAGUUGCAUCUAUUGAGAAACCAGCCAUGUUUGCUUUCUGUCUGAAACCACGGGGUUUGGAAGUACUCAACAAGGGGUCAAAACAAAGAUCACACAGGAAAUUUCCAGUUGCAGGACAAAGCAAUGCCAAUUUGGGAGAUCAGGAUGGUUUCCAUGCAUUUGGUAACUCCAUCCUUUUACAUAUUCCAUUGGCUUAUUGUCACAGUCCAUUGUUUUAGUUCUAAAUACCUUUUUCUUAUUUGGAUUUGUUCUGUUGUGCCAGGAAGAAGAUUAAAUGGGUAUGCUGUUGGAGAUGAGAAAGCUAUGUUUCCAGGUCAUUACCAUGAAUCCUCAGAUGCUUCCCAAUUGUUUCAGUCAUCAACAAGGGUAUUUUCACCACGGGAUGCAGGUAGCACAGGCUAUUUCUCAUUAAGCAGUGAUGGAUCUGAGUGGAGUCAUCACCCUAGACUUCACAGGAACAAGUCAAAGAAGAUGGGGGCAUUUCUACCCUCUAGUGAUAUCCAGAUGGGGGCCUCAUACAGUCAUAGAACUAUAGGUAAGAGAAAUGGGGUUCAUGGAUGGAACAUGGGCUUACCUGAGUGGCCAAGUCAGAAGCAUUACCAAUUGGAAGUAUCACAGCGGCACAAUAGUGAGCUGUUGGAUGGAUCGGAUCUUGAUGAGUUCAGGUUACGUGAUGCAUCUGGUGCAGCUCAGCAUGCACUUAACAUGGCUAAACUGAAGAGAGAAAAAGCUCAGAGAUUUCUUUACAGAGCAGAUCUGGCCAUCCACAAGGCUGUGGUUGCUCUCAUGACUGCUGAGGCAAUCAAAGCGUCUUCUGAGGACUUAAAUGGUGAUGGGUAGGACCAAUGGGAGGGAGUAUGAGAAGUGGAGAGGCAAUGAAGUUGGCCAGCUCCUUAACCUGCACUGUUCUGCAGCAGUCACAUAAAGAUUUGACAUUGAAAUUGAUCUGGUUUUUCCUUUGCCAAUGGUGGUGGGCGCUUGUAUGUAGAUUCUGAAGGAACUUCCAACUUGAUGGCUGUGGGUGGUAAGGUUGGAGAAGAAACUACUGGGUCUGCCCCAUUAGUUUUCUAUGGUCAUGGUAGUUUGGUGCACAGCUUCCCAGAUCUUCUACCGACUAGGUUUUUUCCCAGCAGCAGGUUUUCCCAGUUCAAUGCAACUGUUGUACUGCUCCUGCAGGUAAGGGGUGUAUGGAAUUUUGGUUGCCGACCUUUGUACAGAAUUUUUUUUCCCCUCUUCUUGUUCCUUUAUCUUUUGACCUCAGUUUUAAGGUGUUUGAUAUUAAAGGUGCAAUUGGCCCAAAUAAUACGCUACACCCCUUGGAAUCGAAUCACAAAUUCUUCUCUUAUUGAACUUUGGAGCAAUUACUGGAUAUGUACUGAUCAGAGCUCUCCAUUCCAAUACAAAAGAAAAAAAAGGAAAAAAAAAAAAGAAAAGAAAGAAAAGCCUGUAAGUAAUUAUCUUAUAAUAUUAUAGAGUUUCAUCAGAGGCUUAAGAUUUUGUUGCUUCUUCAUUUUAUGCUUGAAUGCUUGCUUUUACCUAUUAAACGGAGUCCUUCAAUGGUCUCAAACUGCCUCUUUCUGUGGAGUGCAUGAUGUUUGUCUACAGCUGAAGCAGAUGUGAAUCAGCCUUGAAGAUUGAAAAACCUGAAAAAAGAUCCUAAAAAAACAAUAGGUCAAAGAAUAUGUCUUUCUAAAUGUGGUUAAGUCUCUGUGGGUGAAAUGAGAGUAGUUUUGUGGUGGCAAUGGCAGUAGGGGCACGGUGUAGAACAUAAAAAAGCAUGACGCCCAGUGGCAGGGAUGGGAUGGUAGGCUGUGUUGCAGUUGAGAUUUUAUGAAUUAGGUGUUAGACAUUUAAGAAAAGGAAGGAGCAGGGAAGGUCUAUGGGAGCAGCUCUGAACUGAAACAGGCAGAUCUUAUUACUAGUGUAUUCCAUUGUCCUAUUUCUCUGCUAUUUUCCAGAAAAGGGUUUAUAUCCAAAAUAACAGAAUCCGCCACAAAAUUUUGUAAUAUGUGCCUUGACUAAAGUUCAAAUUAAAAUAGGAAGAUCUCACAAUACAAUACCGCUAUGAACCAUGAGCUCUUCAAGAAAGAAAAAUCAGAAGAGCUCUACCUGCAAAGACUUAUAAACUCCACAAACAUAUUUGUUCAAGAUCCCAGAAAGCCUGUACAUACAAAAGCAAUAAUAUCACAUAGAAAAAGAAUAAAACCAUCCUUUUGCCUGCUCCGGGUUCAAUGCCAUAGUUCACUGCAGAAACCAUUACGGGUCCUCUUGCUUUUCACAAUGUCUGAGAAUGAAUCAAUCAACUGGCCUGCCAAGCUACUUGGGUCUUCGAUUAGGGUUUGGAUAAAUGCAUGCACAACCCUCCGCUCCUGCUCGGUUGAUCUCAAGCUAAACCAAGUUAAGAACUUCAUCCUAAAUUCCUGUCCUAUGUGCCCUUCACACUCUAGCCAUCGAAUGAUCUUCACACAAUACUCAUAGCUCCUGUCCAAAUGGCCUGAUCCAGCACAGACUUGCAAUGGGGAACCAUUAAUUAGAGUGCUAACGCAAUCAUAUGCCUCACUCUUUGAGCUCAGAGUCUGUUUCCUGCAUAACUCUGUUCUGGAUUCAACAGCAGGAACUUCUCUGAUUGCCCUGAUUUUGCAAGUUUGUGAGUCGUGGCUACCACUUGAUCUUGAUUGAUCAUUCUUUUCCAAGCCAUGUGAUACUGCAUCAUCCUCAGCUUCAACCACCUGCUCCAAGGUGCACUCAUUGUCUUCAUCUCUGGAGGACUCUAGUGGUGGUGUUAGUUCUGCAUUCAAAUCAGGCACAGAAACAACAUUUAAGUCAAGCUCACGCGAAUUUGGCAUUGGUUUUUCAUCUUCUGGGGUUUCAUAUCUCAUUGCACUGCUCCCACCACUGCAUUCUUCCACAUCAGCACUGCAUAAUCCCUCCAGAGAGCCUUGUUCUUCUGCUGAAGUAAGGUAGAGAACCUUUCCUAGGUCCUGGACCUUAAAACUGGAAGUCCUUGGCACUGUUUCAUUCCUGGUAUCUAGUCUUUCAUUAUCAGGACUAAUUUCAUUUUGUGGAACGACGACUUCAGAUUCAAAAUUCUUGUGGUUUAUCUCCACAUUCCUAGUGAAACACUUUGCCUCAAAAUGACCCAAGCUGCCAGAAUCAGUAUAAGGAAUUAUCCGGAAAAGAUACUCAAUGCCAGGUUGCAAAUUUGAUAUUAGAACCCUUUUCUGAGUCCUUGGGAAGAUGCGCAUAGGCUCCUUGGAGGAUGGUUCUUCCCUGCUUGGGCAAUACCAGAGCAUGUACCCUUUAACUGCAUCAGAAGGUGAAGCAUCUGGUUCAUCCAAAACAAGAACAAGAGAAGAAGCUGUUACUUCUUCAAAUAGGAAUAUGAAAGCAGCACCAAGUGAGUUUUCUGCAACAGCAAGAGGAAACAGAUUAAUUAAUUUAGGAUCACUUAAUUCAGCAGAAAAAGGAAAAAGAGAGAGAGAGAGAGAGAGAGAGAAGAGUAUCAAUGUUGGAUGAAGGAUUUAUGAUUCUGAUGUUAUUGUUAUCAUUGGAAUAAAUGCAUCAUUCAUGGGGUCCCAUUCUCUGAAAAAUGAUUUCUAAAUGAAGAAGGGAAGAAGGUAGUUUCACUUUGGGGGAAAAUUGAAUUGCUUCUGUUGAAGACAAACAAAUACCAGGAAAUUGUUAUACUUGUUGCCAAUCUGUGAUAUGGCAUAUAUUUAAUACUGGAUUGCACUGUCUAUUCAUUAGGAUUAAAUUCAGAAGUAGGUUUGGUGGGUAUCUUUAAAUUAGGAAGAAUGUUUGGUGGGUAUCUUUAAACUAUUUUACCUCUUAUUCUCUUUAUCUUUAAUUUGCCCCACUUGGAUUAAAGCUAUUGCAAUUCAGUCCCUUCUUUACUUGGUACUGCAAUACCCGCAUCUUCAAUGGUUUUGAGACCCAACCCUUCAAUUGGACUCACACUCUCCCACCUCAGAGCUUAAGCAUUCAGCAGACACUGGAAAAGGUCUUUUUUUUUCUUCCAUUGAGGCUUUCACUUCUUCCUUUUCUUCCUUUAGAAGACAAAUAAAUUAUUCAUCUUAUCUUCUAUAUCUGUAGUCUAUUUAAACCUGGUUGUUGUUUAUGUUAAUAUAGUUAGAUUUUUCCAUGGUUUUAUAUCAUGUAAGUACCAACAUGUCUAAACUACAAAUCAAGAGUUUUGAAAAUUUAAACAGUCGCUCUGUGCUACUUCUUCUAAAGUAUAGAGACAACCUUAAAGCAGAUAAUCAUGAUAUGAUCAUGAUUAUGAUCAUGAUAAUCAAUAUCAGAAAAGAUGAGAGAGCUGCUACAGAAUCUAACCUCGGUGAUUGAAGUUAGCAGUAGAAAUGGAGUUGAGCCUUGCAUCUACUUUCUCAAUAGCAAGAGAGCAGAGAUUCUGCACAUCUGCAGCAACUGAGAGUCUGCUCACGAUGCCACGUGCCAUUUUGGCAGAAUCCCCACUAAUUGGACCCACCUCUGUUUCGAGCUUGGCCUUGGCAUCACUUACAACUUUAUGUAGCUCUUUAAAUCUGGAUGUCCCAUCCAAAAGCCUAUAACACAAUGAUAUCCUAUAGCAGAGAACAUCAACCCGCCUAGCUUCCUUCGCUAUGAUAAACUGCUUCUUCCAACAUCUGCAGGAGAUUUUCAAGGCCCCAACAACUAAUUCAGUCUAGGAGAUGCUAUCAAGAUAAUCACAAUACUAAUGGAAAGUACUAGAAGGGCAAGAAGAGAUAAAAAACCUUUGCCACUAAGUGAAGGACAAGGACAUUAGAGAAUUAAUCCCCCAAUCUUAACUGUCUGGUCAUGUUUUGAUCUUAAAAUAUACAAUCUCGCUCUUAUCCAAGACUGCAAAUUAAUCCAAAAAACUCCAACUUCCAGACUCGAGUUAAAACAUUAUUUUAAUAUUGUUGGCAAUUCAGGAUGUUUAACAUGACUAUUACACAUCUCUAAAAAGUUUUACACAGCAGUGCAAGGCUCCUCAUUUUUUGAGCAACCAUCCCAUGUCAUACUACAUUUUUUGAACCUAUGGCUUGCACAAAAAGAAAAAUUAAGUAUAUUUAACAAUAUUUUAAGCUCAAAAUAGAAGCUGGUGGGUAUAACUGUUAUGAAAAAAAAGUGACCUUGAGGCCUAAUUCAAGUGCAAGUGGUUCAGGUGGAACCCAAGGACACAAAAAAGGAAAAUGUUACCUAUCAAAACAAACAAAAAAAAAACCUGUCAUGGGAAAGGAGUAAUUUUAUAAGGAAAUUUAUAGAAUGCUGUACUGGCCAAAAACUUUGUUGCACCUAUUUUUUAAUUACCCUUACAUUACAUUUAUUUCAUUUACCAUUUUUGCAGUUCAGCCCAAGCCAAGAGUUUCUACAGUCAGAACUUAUCAACCACCUAUUUUAAGUAAAUGAAAUCGAGUUUCAUAGCAUGCCAAGUAGUUUUCUGAUCAUGAUUUAUGUGAAAAUAUUACUAACCCAAGAAUUUCUGUGACUUUUCCACAAGAAGCACAGCAGUAGGUCCCAUCUAGCUGCAUCAAUUGCCCCAGAUCAACCACCCCAACUUUCUGCCUUAGAAUUGCACAUUCAAUGUGGCAAGACAACCCACAAGUGUCACCCUUAUCAAACUCAGAUGUGCAGACUAACCAUAGGCUAGGGUCCUUGUUGUCAUCAAAUGAGUGGCAGAUACAGCAAGAGCACCUCUUGCAGAAUAUGUCAUCUAAAGAUAGCACAGCUCGACAAGCUGAGUUUUUACAUAUCCUUGUGUUUGAAGACUCCUCAUCUUGAGUAAGCCCAGCAGCUGAUGGAAGCCGGACUGGGUUCCCUCCCUUUCUUGGCUGCUUCCUAGAUGGCUGAGUGCCUGUUGUCUGACUGGAAUGUCUCCUCUGCUCCUGGUUCCUGUUGCUCAUCUUCACAAACUGUUCAGUCAUUCUUCAUUUUUAUGAAGCUGAAGGCUUAUUUUCCUUGUCAAAGCACGAUUAAAGAAAUCUCUUCUUUGGAACAGAUACUCUUGCAGAAGCUCCUGAUCUCUAGAAAGCAUUGUCUAAAUGCUCAUUCUUCUUUUGGGUGCAAAAGAAAGACCAUAUAACAAGCUGGAAGGAAUUGAAGUAGCAUAACAAUAAGAGAGAACUUAUUGACACAUAACAAAAGAAAAUAUAAGAUCUAAGCAAUGUUGUCAUGGAACCUUGGUUGAGCCACCAGCUCAACCCAUAAAACUUGUCAUUUGUCUCAACCUGGUAAUAUAUGCAAUACAAUAGAAGUAUCAUGUUGCAUCUAAAAAUGGUUCAUCCAAAGCAUUAUUUACUUAACUGUAUUGCAAAUUUGCAAUUAUGUUUAAAUUUUUCAAUCACGUAGUCUUAUUUUUUUACUUUGGUUUUAUAUCCACCAGAAGAAAUUGUUCUGGGUUUUAAGGACAAUGGUUGGCAACUCCAUAAGAGAAACGACAAAAUGGUAGAAUACCCCCGUUUGAAGAAAUGCCAAGUAAUGUUCUAAAACAAUGCUUGGCAAUACCAUUUUUUGCUUCUUUAUUUCCUUCCAGCUUGGUUUUGUGCAAGCUUGAUGGGUGAAGCAUCUGCAUGAUGAAGGAUAUUUAUCUUUAGCGGAAAGAUUCUUAUCCUUCAUGAGAAAAAAUUUUCCAAGUGAUUUUUGAACUAGCCAAUAAACACCCAGAACAGGUCAACAUAGAUUACUAGUAAAAUUGUACCUGAGUUGCAACAUGAUGUGCUCCUCAACUCCCCUCAAAAGAGGGGCGGAAGGUGACUCACCCAGGCUAUAAGAUGAAGCACACAACUAAUUGAGUAACUCAUAGUUCAAAGUCACGGUCAAGAAUGAAAAUAUUGGUAAUCACAGAUAUAUCGAUACUUCGAUUUUACGGAUAUAUCGGCGGAUAUUUUGGAAAAAAAUAUCGAUAAGCCUAAAAUUGAUCAAAAUUUAUAAAAAUAUAAUAAAAACUUCAUAAAAAUGUAAUUAGAAGUAUAAUGAUAUUUUAAAAUUGUUUUAUUAAAUAAUUUGAUAUAUGUAUAAUGUGAUUUAUCAUAUUUGAUAAUAAUACCGUGUGUAUCGAUAAAAAUAUGAAUUUAAUAAGUGUACAUUUAUUAUUAAAUUACAUAAAAUAUUAUUUCAUAAUAAUAUUAUGAUAUUUGAUUAUAAUAUGUCUAAUUUUAAAAUAUAUAUUAAUAUUAAAAUUAUGAUCCAUUUAAUUCAAUUGUAUUAAAUAAUAUAAAAUAAAUUGUGAUAUAUGUACAAUUUUUUAAUAUUUAAUUCAUUAUUAAUGAUAUUAAAAACACUAUGAAGAAAAUUAUCAUGAUAAUUUUUAUAUUUUUGGUAAUCAGUUAAAAGAAAUUUUUGCAUUUAAUUAUAAAAUAAUUAUAAUUAAUUUGCUCUUUAAAAUAUUCUUUUAAUAUUUUCUUUAUAUAAUGACUUCAAAUAUAUAUAUGUUUAGUGCAUAAUAUUUAACAAGGGGCAAGCUUGCCCUAAUGGUAAGUGAGCUGAACCCCAAACCUUUUGGUUUGGGGUUCGAAUCCCCUCAAUAGCAAAAGGGCAUUUUUGAGGUAUUGUAAUGGGGGCACUGUAGCGCAUUUGACUUCACUGUAGCAUGUGUUGACCACGUUGACCAUAUGAUAUAUCAGGAAAAAUCGGCGAUUUAUUGCCAAAUCGCCGACAUAUUGCGAGAUAUCGCCGAUUUUUAGGGAUUUCUCCCGAAAUUUCGCUGGAUCGAUAUUUCUCCAUGAAAUAUCAUAUCAAUACCUUCUAAUACACGAUAUAUCAACGAUAUAUCGCCGACAUAUCGCGAUAUUUUCUUCCAUGGUCGCGAUAUUGAUCAUUGACUCGGAAAGCAAGAGGCAUAUAUUUUCUUCCAUGGUCACGGUAUUGAUCAUUGACUCAAAACGCAAGAGGCAUAUCAGUCUUUAUGUCUCGGCUCAGUAUCGAGCGAUACACAAAAUAAGAUGGUUGAAAAGUUUAAAAAAUUAAAAAAAAAAAAUUAAUACAAUUAAAUAAGCUUAAAAACUAAUAAAAUAAAAUUUUCUCACAUUUAACAUUAUUUAAAUAGUUAUAAAGUCUCUGUAGAAUAUAAUUUAUGAUAGUGUUAAGAAUUGAAAAUUAUUUUCAAAUAUAAUGGUAUUUUACUAAAAGAAUACAAUUUAAUCAUCAAUUCGAUUUUUAGUUUCGAUUAAAUGAUUACAAAGCUUUAUAUUUAAAUAUAAAUAUAAAAUACAUUUAUCAAAUAAAAUACAAUAUAUUGUUAGUUAAAUGAUUUUAAUAUAUUAAAAUAUUAAUAAAUUAAAUGGUUUCAACAUAUUAUUAAAAAUAAAUUAAUAAAUCAUAAAUGCUAUCAUUACCAUAUAAAAUAAUACAUUACUUAAACUAAUAUAAUUCAUAUCGCACGAUUAACAUAUAAAAUAAUAAGCUAUUGUCAUAUAAAAUAAUAGAUUAUAAAAUCUUACCUUAAAUUAUGAUAUAAAAUGGCACAUGACUACCUUUUUUAAAAUUCCCAAUUCACACACAGUGCACACCUACUCACCCACAUCAUGGGGAGAGAGAGGAGGGUAGAAGGGAAAAUGUUGUUAGCCAAUUACAUACCCAUAACCGUGACACUGAGACCAAAAACAAAGAGGGGAGGCCAAAUUCAAGGAUCAUCACGCACGACAAUGAAGGAAAUCGGUAUGAUGUUUCUCAACCUCCUCUUCUUAUACACCUCCAAGACUCAGUCAUUUUUUUUUUUUUGAUUGGCAAACACACAAAGAAGCAUAUAUUAGCAAGGAGCCCCAAAAACAGGCCCAAAAACAUACAGGGAGUAUACAAGAGGCGCCCUAGGGCACAAAAAGAAGCAGAAAUACAAUACCAACCCUCACCUAGCACCUAGCCAAUCAAAAAAACCGAGUAAAGAGAGAGGACCUUCAUUUACAACUGGUUUAGACCACACCCAAAGAUUACAAACAAAAGAAUUUUUCAACCUAUUCAACGAUAGCUCCUCAUUGUCAAAGGCAAUCCUAUUUCUUUCCUUCCAUACCGCCCAAAAGAUACACGAAGGGACAGCCUUCCACACCUUUCUGCGCUUUUUGCCCAUAUUAAAUCCACUCCACCCACUAAGGGUAUCUCUAACCGAAUAAGGCAGGACCCAAGAAACACCAAAAAGAGCAAAUACUAAUUCCCAUAACACUCUAGCCUUGGAGCACUGAAUAAGAAUAUGAUCAAUAGAUUCUUCUUCCUCACAGCAAAGAAAGCAUCUGUUGGCUAAACACCGACCCCUCUUUUUGAGUUGAUCCAAAGUUAACACCUUACCCCAAAAAGCUUCCCAAGCAAAGAAACUCACUUUAGUAGGCACACAAGGAUUCCAUAUAAUAUUGAUAGGGAAUUGAACACCUCUUCUUGAAUCUAAAAUGCUAUAAAGAGAUUUAACUGAGAAAAUCCCAUCCUUUGUCUCUUUCCACAACAAACAAUCUUCCGUAAGAGGAUUAAGCCUCCUCCCCUGAAUUAUCACAAGUAAUCUCUCCACCUCCUCCACCUCCCAGUCAUUAAAGGGCCUAGAGAAUCUGGGACUCCAAACCCCUUCACCUCUAGAAUGGUCCCACAUCUCCUCUAUCCAAGCCUCUUUAUAAGAUGCAAAGGCAUACAAAGAGGGGAAUGAAUUACAGAGAGUGGAGUUCCCACACCAAUUAUCUUUCCAAAAUUUCACCCUUCUACCAUUCCCCACAGAGAAGCUCACCUUGUUUUGCAAAAGAGCACCUUCCUUCCUUAUAUCCUUCCAAAAACCAACUCCAAAGCCCUCCCUAACCUCUUUAGAGUACCACCCCCCUUCNNNNNNNNNNNNNNNNNNNNNNNNNNNNNNNNNNNNNNNNNNNNNNNNNNNNNNNNNNNNNNNNNNNNNNNNNNNNNNNNNNNNNNNNNNNNNNNNNNNNNNNNNNNNNNNNNNNNNNNNNNNNNNNNNNNNNNNNNNNNNNNNNNNNNNNNNNNNNNNNNNNNNNNNNNNNNNNNNNNNNNNNNNNNNNNNNNNNNNNNNNNNNNNNNNNNNNNNNNNNNNNNNNNNNNNNNNNNNNNNNNNNNNNNNNNNNNNNNNNNNNNNNNNNNNNNNNNNNNNNNNNNNNNNNNNNNNNNNNNNNNNNNNNNNNNNNNNNNNNNNNNNNNNNNNNNNNNNNNNNNNNNNNNNNNNNNNNNNNNNNNNNNNNNNNNNNNNNNNNNNNNNNNNNNNNNNNNNNNNNNNNNNNNNNNNNNNNNNNNNNNNNNNNNNNNNNNNNNNNNNNNNNNNNNNNNNNNNNNNNNNNNNNNNNNNNNNNNNNNNNNNNNNNNNNNNNNNNNNNNNNNNNNNNNNNNNNNNNNNNNNNNNNNNNNNNNNNNNNNNNNNNNNNNNNNNNNNNNNNNNNNNNNNNNNNNNNNNNNNNNNNNNNNNNNNNNNNNNNNNNNNNNNNNNNNNNNNNNNNNNNNNNNNNNNNNNNNNNNNNNNNNNNNNNNNNNNNNNNNNNNNNNNNNNNNNNNNNNNNNNNNNNNNNNNNNNNNNNNNNNNNNNNNNNNNNNNNNNNNNNNNNNNNNNNNNNNNNNNNNNNNNNNNNNNNNNNNNNNNNNNNNNNNNNNNNNNNNNNNNNNNNNNNNNNNNNNNNNNNNNNNNNNNNNNNNNNNNNNNNNNNNNNNNNNNNNNNNNNNNNNNNNNNNNNNNNNNNNNNNNNNNNNNNNNNNNNNNNNNNNNNNNNNNNNNNNNNNNNNNNNNNNNNNNNNNNNNNNNNNNNNNNNNNNNNNNNNNNNNNNNNNNNNNNNNNNNNNNNNNNNNNNNNNNNNNNNNNNNNNNNNNNNNNNNNNNNNNNNNNNNNNNNNNNNNNNNNNNNNNNNNNNNNNNNNNNNNNNNNNNNNNNNNNNNNNNNNNNNNNNNNNNNNNNNNNNNNNNNNNNNNNNNNNNNNNNNNNNNNNNNNNNNNNNNNNNNNNNNNNNNNNNNNNNNNNNNNNNNNNNNNNNNNNNNNNNNNNNNNNNNNNNNNNNNNNNNNNNNNNNNNNNNNNNNNNNNNNNNNNNNNNNNNNNNNNNNNNNNNNNNNNNNNNNNNNNNNNNNNNNNNNNNNNNNNNNNNNNNNNNNNNNNNNNNNNNNNNNNNNNNNNNNNNNNNNNNNNNNNNNNNNNNNNNNNNNNNNNNNNNNNNNNNNNNNNNNNNNNNNNNNNNNNNNNNNNNNNNNNNNNNNNNNNNNNNNNNNNNNNNNNNNNNNNNNNNNNNNNNNNNNNNNNNNNNNNNNNNNNNNNNNNNNNNNNNNNNNNNNNNNNNNNNNNNNNNNNNNNNNNNNNNNNNNNNNNNNNNNNNNNNNNNNNNNNNNNNNNNNNNNNNNNNNNNNNNNNNNNNNNNNNNNNNNNNNNNNNNNNNNNNNNNNNNNNNNNNNNNNNNNNNNNNNNNNNNNNNNNNNNNNNNNNNNNNNNNNNNNNNNNNNNNNNNNNNNNNNNNNNNNNNNNNNNNNNNNNNNNNNNNNNNNNNNNNNNNNNNNNNNNNNNNNNNNNNNNNNNNNNNNNNNNNNNNNNNNNNNNNNNNNNNNNNNNNNNNNNNNNNNNNNNNNNNNNNNNNNNNNNNNNNNNNNNNNNNNNNNNNNNNNNNNNNNNNNNNNNNNNNNNNNNNNNNNNNNNNNNNNNNNNNNNNNNNNNNNNNNNNNNNNNNNNNNNNNNNNNNNNNNNNNNNNNNNNNNNNNNNNNNNNNNNNNNNNNNNNNNNNNNNNNNNNNNNNNNNNNNNNNNNNNNNNNNNNNNNNNNNNNNNNNNNNNNNNNNNNNNNNNNNNNNNNNNNNNNNNNNNNNNNNNNNNNNNNNNNNNNNNNNNNNNNNNNNNNNNNNNNNNNNNNNNNNNNNNNNNNNNNNNNNNNNNNNNNNNNNNNNNNNNNNNNNNNNNNNNNNNNNNNNNNNNNNNNNNNNNNNNNNNNNNNNNNNNNNNNNNNNNNNNNNNNNNNNNNNNNNNNNNNNNNNNNNNNNNNNNNNNNNNNNNNNNNNNNNNNNNNNNNNNNNNNNNNNNNNNNNNNNNNNNNNNNNNNNNNNNNNNNNNNNNNNNNNNNNNNNNNNNNNNNNNNNNNNNNNNNNNNNNNNNNNNNNNNNNNNNNNNNNNNNNNNNNNNNNNNNNNNNNNNNNNNNNNNNNNNNNNNNNNNNNNNNNNNNNNNNNNNNNNNNNNNNNNNNNNNNNNNNNNNNNNNNNNNNNNNNNNNNNNNNNNNNNNNNNNNNNNNNNNNNNNNNNNNNNNNNNNNNNNNNNNNNNNNNNNNNNNNNNNNNNNNNNNNNNNNNNNNNNNNNNNNNNNNNNNNNNNNNNNNNNNNNNNNNNNNNNNNNNNNNNNNNNNNNNNNNNNNNNNNNNNNNNNNNNNNNNNNNNNNNNNNNNNNNNNNNNNNNNNNNNNNNNNNNNNNNNNNNCCAUAAAAAAUCCCUUUGAAUUUUUUUCAAUUCUAAAAUUACCGCUUUUGGAAAUUGGAGGAAAGGACUUCAAAUAUUUGGGCUUCCUGGCCAGGGUACUUGGGAUAGGGGUCAUUCUCCGGCCUUUGGGGAUAAAUGGCCUUUUCCACACGGCAGGCCUUUUCGGGAACCUUUCUUCCACUCCAUCCCAAACGGCCAGGGACUUAUGAUUCGCCCCCAAAGGGAUCCCCAAGUAAGAAGUUGGCAGCCUACCCACUUUACAACCAACCUCAAGAGCCAACAACUCCAAAUUCUCCACUCUCCCAACCGGCAAGAUUUCGCUCUUAUCCAAAUUGAUUCUCAAUCCUGAUAAGGCUUCAAACCACAUCAACAGCCAGCUCAAAUAAGCCAUCUCAUCUUGGGAUGAAUCACAGAAAACUAGAGUAUCGUCGGCGAACAGCAAAUGAGAAACCAACGCCCCGUCGCCUCUUCUACCUUUUAUCCUGCAUCCUGAAAGGAAACCCCCUCUCACAACCCUAUGAAUAAGCCUACUAAAAGCCUCCAUCCCAAUCACAAAAAGAUAAGAAGAAAGAGGAUCUCCCUGACGCAAACCCCUUGAACUAUUGAAGAAACCCUCUGGGGUACCAUUGAUUAACACCGAAAAAGUUGCUGUGGAAAUACACCAAGAUAUCCAACCAGUCCACCUCUCCCCAAAUCCCAUUCUUUGCAAAACCGACAACAAGAAAUUCCAGUUUAGAUGGUCGUAAGCCUUUUCUAUAUCCAGCUUACACAACACCCCGCUCUCCUUACUUUUCAGCAUUGAGUCAAUUGCCUUAUUGGCAAUUAGGGCUGCAUCUAGAAUUUGUCUACCUUCAACGAAUGCAUUUUGAGCUGAAGACACCACCUUUCCCAUGACAUUUUUGAGUCUGUUAGCUAACACUUUCGCCAACAAUUUAUACAACCCCCCUACCAAACUUAUCGGUCUAAAAUCCCUAAGAUCCUCCGCACCCGCCUUUUUAGGGAUAAGGACCAGAAAAGUUGAAUUAAGGCUCCUUACGAAUCUGCCACGCUCAUGGAAUUCCUUAAAGAAGCCCAUAACCUCUACUUUCACAAACUCCCAACUAAAUUGCCAAAAGCUAAGAGAGAAGCCGUCUGGGCCAGGAGCCUUGUCUCCAUUCAUAUCUGAUAAAGCAGAAAAGACCUCUUCCUCUGUAAANNNNNNNNNNNNNNNNNNNNNNNNNNNNNNNNNNNNNNNNNNNNNNNNNNNNNNNNNNNNNNNNNNNNNNNNNNNNNNNNNNNNNNNNNNNNNNNNNNNNAACCUCCAAUCCAGGUAAACGGCCCCCCCUGAAGGGGUAGGUCCCUCAACUCCAGCUCAUCAAUCACCUCCGAGAAUCUUCUCAUCAUAAUCACAAAAACAGUUACCUAAACAUGAGUUUUGGCACUAUCAUGACAUCAAUUCAUAUACUUGACCCAACAAAACCUUAUCCUAAUUUCUUGGGCUUGGCUACACAAGUCCCAUUUUAGCAUUAGAUUCUAUUUAGAGAGAUAUUAAAUGGGAUUUCUGUAGUUGUUGAAUUCUUAUACAUUAUAACAAUAAGAACCCCCCGAGCCUUGUAUAUGUCAGCAUCAUUGAAUGAAAUAAUCUGUGGCUAGCUGAUCAUUUUCUAAAUUUAGCACAAAAAGACAAUAACUUGUGCACUCACCUCAUAGCACCACUAGAAGCUGAUUGAGAAGAUAUUCCAACCACACACUACUCUUGCAAACUCAAUCACAAUUUCCUCUUCCACAUAGAGAAAAACUAUGUGUGCUGUAGAUACUCAAUUCCUCAUUUAGAAACAUCUUAAAGAAUAAAAUAAAAUAAAGCAAAUGAUUGAUACACAUGUGCCCCAUCUGAUAAUUUCAAGUUAUCACACUUCUAGAUGAGCAAAAAUCAACUGAUCAAAAUACAAAUGAAAUCCAAAUCAAAUGACACAUAAUAAAUAUUUACACACUCAUUCCAGUUCAAUUAAAAAAAUUUCCCAUAAAUGAUAUGAACAUAUAAACAAGAAUACAAAUGUAAACGUCAAAAUGGAAUGGAGAUGAAGGAAACUAAAUAAGGGAUCUGACUUGGAAAUAGAGUAUGAAGAACAAAAAAUUAAAAAUUGCAGAUUAAUACUAAUGAAAAGAUUAAUGGGAAAACUACCCGGAAAAAUGGCGAUGAAAAAUGAAAGUUAGGGUUUUGAUCGACCAAGC